UUAAAGUGUGGUGCUCUUUAUUUCGCUCGCUUUUAGGUCACAUUUUCAUAUCUCUACCAUUCAGUGUCUAGAACAUAGUGUGUAGAUCAUUCAUAUAAAAUUUCAUCCAUUUUGGAGAUCAUUUGAGCUUCUGUAAUUGUGAUAUAUAUAUAUAUAUAUAUAUAUAUAUAUACGAACGAAACGANAGAGAGCGCACGUNNNNNNNNNNNNNNNNNNNNNNNNNNNNNNNNNNNNNNNNNNNNNNNNNNUUCCUACAAAAUUUCAUUCAGAUUGAUGAUCGUUUAGGUACCGAAUUAGAUUACAUUAAUGAACAGACCAUAAAUAUGUCUAACCAAAACUGUUUGUGUAAAUCACGAUUACGAACACCCAAAUGAUCAUCAAAUUAGAUGAAAUUUUGCAAAAGUGAUGUAUGCAUUAGGUUUUACAAACUGAACGGUGAAGAUGUGAAAAUAUGACCGAAAAGUUAGUCAAAUAAGAAACUUCACGCAUUAAUUUCAGAGUGAAGCUUCGCUCUGGAUAAGAACUGAUAUAUAUAUAUAUAUAUGGGCCCUUCUAAUGGGGGAUCUCUUUUUUUGUUCAUUUCUAGGGAUAGAGUAUUUGACAAACUUUCCGAUCACUAAAUUACAUCUCCACCGUUCAGUUUGUAAGUGUACAUGAGUAGAUCACUUCUGUAAAUUUUCAGAAAAUUUGAUGAUCGUUAAGUCAUCCAAAUGUUUGAUUUAUUUUUGAUGAUGUUUGACAUAAGUGUUAAGUUUUUAUUUUAAUCUCAGUCAUCAAACCUCAUUAAAUAACAUAUCUAAUGGUGUGGGCUUAUCUCUAAAAGUGACAAAAAAUAAAGAUCCCCUCAUCGGAAGGGCCCUAUAUAUAUUCGUAUUUUUCAUUACAUCCUGUUUAAACACGUACGCAUCAAACUUUUUAAUUUGCUUUUGAAAAUGUGAGUCUUCUCCAAUUUUUAGAAAAUGAUUUCUAUUUGCUUUUGAAACUUUUCUGUUGAUGAUAAUUAUUAAAAAUGUUACAAUUUGAUUAGGUUAUAUUAUUGAAUUUUAAGAGUCUUUGGAGGAUUGCUUAAGGUUGUCUUAGUAAUUUAAACUAGUAAUUUCUUACGUAAUUCCAUGUGUUCUUGACUUUCUUAUACAGCUUGACAUUUUCUUGGUAGUGAAAAAAAAAAAAACUUUUCUUUGAUAAGGCAUAUAUGUUGUUGUCUUAUAAAUAUUAUAUUAUCGUUUUUUUCUUGUCUCUUGGAUGUUAUAUUGUUUCUUCUUGUGAGUCUAUGACAAAAGUUGUGUUUCGGUAUAUGAGUUGUUAUCAUGAUCUUAAUGCGUGAAAAUGUAACUGUUUGAGAAGUUUGAAGUUUCAUUAUCAUGUUCUUAAUUAGUGUUUGCUGCUGGUGCUUUUUUUUUACUAAGCAUAGAUAAUGAAUAAGUAAAUAAAGCACGAUGAAGAAGGUGAUCAAAACAGCGAUUUGUAUGAACGGUUCAGGUUGGCAAAUUUGAUCCAUCUAUUGAUUUAAGCGAAUUCGAAACCUUAAAGAUCAUCAAUUUAGAUGAAAUUUUACAUAAAAGAUCUACUCAUAUGUCUAUAUAGUGAAUGGUAUAGAGGGCCCCUUCACUAAAAGAUCUUUUAUUGUGGCUUAUAUGAGAGAUGAGUCAUUUGAUAAAUUUUUCGAUCACAAAAUCACAUCUCCAUCACUUCUACAAAGUUUCAGAAACUUUAGUGAUCGUUAAGGAAUUCUAUUGGCUAGGAAGCCUUAGAAUAUGCUUUUUACCGAGUCACUCAUGACUCGCCCAUGAUAAAAAUAAUGUCACAUAAAUAAAGAAAUAAAUAAAAGUACAAGAGGAAAUGAGAAAGGCUCACCAAAAGGAAGGGAACAAGGCUCCCACAUCGAAAUUAAGGGGAGAGUCCGGUUCUAGAGAGAGACAUCCUUAAACUCUUAAAAUGAGGAUUGUUUUUUUAAUUUUUUUUUAUUUAUUUUUAUAAAGGGGUUUGGAACCCAGCCUACCUAAGAGGCUCAGUCCCACGCCCGUUAUUAAUAUUAAUAGAAUUGUGUACCACCAAGGGGGAUGUAAUAUCUUUACCUCGGAGUGCACUAGAAGCAUUACAUGAAUCCUCAUAGAGGACAUCUUAUAAGAAAAUAGGAACUAAAUCAACAUUUAGCUCUACUACAUUAUUAUAACUAGCAAAAUGGGCUAACCUAUGAGCACCAUUAUUUACUUUGCGAUUGAUAUGUCUGACCACACUACUGUUCAAUAAAAUCAAAUAGGCACGACAAUUUUCAAUAAUCCGACUAAUCUCCAAGCAGUCACUGUUCUCACCAUUCAGAGCCGCCACCAGAACUUCAUAAUCACUCUCAACCUCAAUGUCGAGCCAACUUUGUUCUACUGCUCUCUUCAACCCUUCUCUGCAUGCCAACCUCAAAGUGAGGAUGUUUUUAGUUUUAGCUUGUAUUUUGAUAAUCAAAGCCACUCAUUCCCUAGUUACCUACCCACAUAUGAAUCCUACAAAAAAAUUAGCCAAAAUAGAAAAUGUUUAACCAUUUGAUUAGCAAAAUAUUUGUUUUAUUUUAUUUAAUGACCUACAAUUGUUUACGUCAUUUUGAAUGACCAAAUGAUUAUAGAAUUAGUUGAUAUUUUGUAGACAUGGUUCUUGCAUAUGAAUCUAGAGGAUCAAUGAUUAAAAUCUUUAAAUGAAGUCAUCUACUAGUGUAAAAUAGUAGAACUCCUCAAAUUCUUAAAGUAAGGAUGACCCUCUCUAAACACACACAAACACAGUCCGGAUCAAGAGAAGACAUAUGUGAAAGAGCUAAAAUGCGGACGAAGAUGAAAUGAAGUGAAGAUGAAUCCUCUAGAAAAAGAAGGCAUGUAGAUCAUUCUCUAUGUCCUCAAUAGUCAUAUAUUUUCAUCGAGAAAGAGAAGGCAUAUACGAAAUUCGAAUUCCUUCCAAUCCUCCACUCACCCACCAUUCUCACAAGGCCAUCCCUGUUGACACUCUUAAAAUGCAUGUAUCUCUAAUCCUCAACACUUUCAAGAUUAUCUGUGGGGGUAGUAAAUUAUUUUAGACCCAUAAUGAAGACCCUUAUUUUAGUCUUAACAUGACGGUAAAUGUCGACAAUGAAGUGACAUGGCAUAGUAAUAGUGUGCAAUAAUUAACCGCCUUAAAUGCAACUAUAAUUGUCAUUAAUCCUCCAUCAUAAGUGAGUGAGUAAAUAUAGAUAUAAAAGCAGGUAAUUAUGAUGACUUGACGCAUGAGUUAUGGGUUAUUUGUUAUGCAAGUUUACUUGCAUCUCAAGUAGCUAUUCACUUAUAAAUAGUAUGCUUCAUAACUGGGUAAGAAAUCUCAUUCCAUCCUGGUUCUCUCUACUGAGUUAAGAGUGUUUCUAACUUGAGCGUCGGAGGGUUUUUGGGUGAGCACCCACUCCAGUCCAUAAUUAUUGGUGCGUGAAAAUCCUCAAAGGAAUUUUUUGUCACCAAAAACAUCUAAUAACAACAUUCAAUUUAACAAAUAUCAGGAUCAAACCCAAAAUAUUAACUCUCCAAAUAUCAAAUAGAUAGAUCUCCACAACACCUCCUUAAAUUUUAGUUAGCCACACUCAAUUGGAGAGCGAAUAUAGAUUAAUCCAGCCAUGAAAGCCUAAGAUCAAAUCUGACACAGAGGCAAUCGAGGGAAAAAUUUAGGGGUAAGAAGCAGAGGAAAGUGGGUGAGAGAAGAGAGAGCACGUACAAAAUAGUCAAAAGCUCUUUAGUUCGAUAUAGAAGAGUGAGGAAGAGACGUGAGUGGAGGGACCUACAUGAAAAUGAAAGAACUUGUGAAUGAAUGACACGUGUCCGUCCACAUUUUAGCUCUUUUACGGACGCCCUUUCUUAAUCUGGCUUAUAAGAGGUACGGGACAGUACAUCAACUUUUUGAUCACAUUUUACCAAAGCUACCGUUCACUUUGUAGCUCUAUAUAAUUAGAUCAUUUAUGUAAAUUUUCAGCCAAUUUCGUGAUCGUUAAGGUACUUAAAACUGUGAUUUAAAAUUAUAAUUAAGCAUGAAUGGUUUAUAUUUCGCAGAAUUGGUACAUAUUAGUUGACAUUUUGCAUAAAUGAUAUACUCAUAUUUACUUAGAUGUUGAACGGUGGAGAUGUUGAUAGAUAAUAAAAGUUGGAUUAAUAAUCGAUCCCUUAUAUUGACCCAAAAAAAAAAAUCCCUUAAUAGAAUGACCUUGUAUGUAUGUGUGUGUAUACAAGACCCUUCCACUUAGGAAUUCAUUUUUUGACUUAUAUGAGGAAUUGAAUAUUAGACUAACUUUUUGAUCACAUUUUUCAACCUUAACGGUUCAGUCUUUGUACUAAUGUGUAGAUCAUUUCUGCAAAUUUUCGUUCAAGAGGCUAAUGUCUUUAAGGCCAGUGUCUAGUGUCAUUCUAAAUUACGAGAACACCCAUAAAAAUAUAUUAUAUGAGAAGAACCCGUUAUAGUUUGGGCCUAAAGUCGCAUAAUGAUAAUACCCGACCCGUCAUCGUUGGGGUUUCAGUUAAAACCCUAGUCGCUACGCGGUAUCAAAACUCCUUUUUGCCGCUCGUAGUAGAAGACCAGAAGCAAAGCAGAGAGCAGAAGCCGCCCAAAACCCUAACCACCAUGCCCAAGUCUAAGCGCGAUAGGCCUGGUAUUCCAUAUCGUCUUCUACAAACACAGAUAUUUGAAAUUGUAUAUGAUUGCUUAGAACUUAUUUUGGGUCUUAUGAACAUGAGUUUGAUAUGAAUGAUAAGCUCACCUCAACUUCUCCUUAGCUCAGCAACUGAAAUGAUUGGUCUUGUGAAUAUUUGUUAUUGUUUGUCUGAUUGGUUUGGUGGGUUUUGGGUGCAGUUACAUUAUCCAAGACAAAAAGGAAGGGAAGGGAACACAAGGAAGCUGUGGUGAAUACGAUCAAACAAGCUGCCGAAGAUUACAAUUCAGUAUAUGUCUUCUCUUUUGAGAACAUGCGCAAUCUAAAAUUCAAGGAGUUCAGAGACCAGCUCAAAUCAACCAGCAGGUAAGUUUUUAAUUUCGUGUCGCCUCUGAGAUGCUCAGUUUGGUACUGAAAUUGACUCUGCUGAGUUAGGUCAAUUGGGUUGAUCAUGUAGUAUGUAUUGGCUCUGAGUCACUAAUAUUCAUGUGUCUACACCAUUAUGUGUAAUGGUAUUUUGACUCUGAUGGCAUGUCAGUGUUUCUCCAUAAUCAAAUUGGAUGUUCUAUUUCCCUAAUUUUAAGUGCUCUGCUGUAAAGCAAUUUUGCCAACAGCAAUUUUUCCAAGUUACGUUGUCUAAAAUUUCUUAUUCAUGUAGUCUUCAAUAUGUGCAUGUGUCUCAUGAUUAGUUUUAUGUUUGCUCAGAUUUUUCCUUGGUUCCAACAAAGUCAUGCAAAUUGCACUUGGCCGAUCUGAAUCUGAUGAGAUCAAAAGCGGACUUCACAAAGUUUCUGAGGUGAGACUUUUUUGCACCUCAUGUAUUUAGUUUCCUCUCUUGAAAUUGGUUGCAUUUCUUUUCUUAAACAGUUUGUUGAUCUUCCUUAGGUUCUCCAUGGAAAUGCUGGACUUUGCUUUACCAAUUUGCCAAAGGAAGAGGUUGAGAGGUAGACAUUUAAGCUUUGAUAUCUGUGAACAGUUUUCUUAAGGAUUCUGGGAGGAAUGUAUUGUAGAUUCCAGUGACAUACAUGUUCACAAGCUUUGGGAAUAUUUGAUGUUAUCCAUCUUAAUGGUUACUUUUGCCUUUUGUCAAUUACUUUCCUGUAUAAGAAUAACUUACUAGCAGUUCAAGCAAUUUGUUAAUGAUUAUUAUAAAAAAAUGUGGAUUGAGGAGUUGUUUGUAAUUAGAGGAACUUGCCCCCUAGGUCCAAUUUAGAAACUACAAGCCAAGUCCAACUAGAUACAUGCUGGCAUGGUGAAGAAUUAGAGUACUUCUGUUAAUUUUCAACACAAGGAUUUUCUGAUCUGGUAGGGGAGACUCAAGCUGUAUCAAGAUUUAAGAAUUCCAUCCUUUGCUCAUGUUUAACUCUCAAAUCUUCAAGUCUAAAUGUGCCCAUGUAUUCUGAUUUAAAUUUCUUGAUGUUCAAUUUUUUUUCUUCUUUCAGGCUGUUUAAUGAAUAUGAAGAAUAUGAUUUCGCAAGGACAGGAAGCAUUGCAACAGAGAAGGUAUUUAUUUGUGUGUAAAUUAUGUAGAUCAGAGCGGGCGUAUAAGUUUGAUCUUGUGUCUGGCUUGGGACUACUCUACUUGAUAGCAUUCAAUUAUCUCCGCAUGAUCUCUUGAAAUGAGUCUCAAUUCAAAUCGUUCAGGUCGAGCUUCAGGAAGGUCCUUUGGAGAUGUUCAGUCAUGAGAUGGAGCCAUUUCUACGGAAACAAGGGAUGCCUGUUCGUUUGAACAGAGGUACCUAUUUGCAUUUAUUUGCUAGUCUUUUUAUGCAUGUAACAGAAGGCAAUGAUUACCCAUCUUUGUGUUUCUGCUUGUAGGUGUUGUGGAGCUUGUUGCUGACUACGUUGUUUGUGAGCAAGGAAAGCCUUUGUCACCUGAGUCCGCUCGUAUACUGGUUCGUUCCAUUCUCGAAUUGCUUGACUAUGAAGUUCCAUUGUUUGGUGUUGUGCUCCUUAUGCCGAAAGGAUUUUCUAUUCCUACUAGUUAAUGAUGUCCUUAGCGGUCUUACUUUGAAGUUCUACUUGCUCUUGUGUGUGUGGAUAUCUUUUUGUUAGUUUACCUGUACGACUUUGUUUGCUUAUCUUGCCCAUUAUUGUUGUUGAAUGGAUUGGCCCGAAAACGCUUUUGCAUGCACUGUAAUAUUUUUUGCAUUGGCUGAUCCAUUGACCAUGAUUUGCUCUGAUUGAUUGGCCUGUGUAAAAUUUCAGCGUGUGCCUCAUCCUACCGCUGCCUGUGUUAUUGAUAGGGUUUCAAGUACAUCAAACUUUUUCCCAUUAUUUUUUGCUUUAUAUUUGUUAUUGAUGGACUUUGUGCAUAACUGUUCUUGUUGCGGCUGUUGCUAUGAUUUUCUGCUAGUUUUUGAAUUUGUUGAAAUUUGAUAUUAGAGAAAGGGACCCUUAGAGAAACUAAUGUGCAGUAAUGGUAAUAUAUAUACAGCGUUCGUUGGGAUCGAAGACGGCUACCUUCCGACUCCAUUUAAUUUGCAGAUGGAGCCCUGGUGAAUUUGAACUCUAUGUUCCUGGACCAAGUGAUUCGGGUGUAGAAUCCUCAUAGAUGCUGAUCUGAAAUCAACAUGUAUUUUAGUGGAAGGCGAAUGGGACCAGGGUGGGGGGGGUGGGAAUGUUAUGUUUGCACUACUGCGAGAUAUGUAACGGUGUGCUACCUUUGGCCAUUUUUGACCCUGGGUUUAUCAUUUUUGUGUUCGGCCGUACUUUGUAGCGAAUUGCACUUGAAUUUUUGGUGAAUAUGAUUUGGCCUAUUGUAUUUACCUUGGAACUUGUAAAAGUUUAAUUUGCUAGUUAUUACAAGAAAUAUUGGUGUCGUGUGGUUUCAAAUUACUGGACUACUGUCCAUCCAUAUAGGAUCUGCUGGUGUAAUUCAGUCGACCCUUGCAGUGAGCGAGCAAAAAUAUGAAUGAGUUGAUCCGGUUGGAUGGUGAUCCAUUUUGGUUAUAAUUGAGUUGACAACUAAUCCCUACUGUUGUGAACUGUAUGUAUCCUGUUCGAUUUUGGUUCUUCAUAUGCGACAGGUAUACCUUAGCCAUUGCUUAUUUUGAAGAACCUUCUGUUUCAAUGGGUUCUUGCUUUAGAAAAAAUUAUGCAAAUCGGAUCAUGAUUGAUUAACGUUAUGGUGGCUCUUUGGCUCCUCAUUUGCUGCUUUGGACCCCUAUGUAUCUUUGAACUUCCAAAAAGAGACCCAAAAGAGACCCGCAUCUAGGAUUUCACCAAUACCACCCAGUUACCUAUACGAUUUCACCAAUACCUAUACACCCAGUUACAAACUGGACAUUAAGCAUUUUGAAAAAGCCUCCAAGUAGCCUUGGCUAACAUAGCUUGGUUCAUAUGAGCUGUUCCCAGACCACCAAUGAAACUUUUACUUCUCAUUCGAAUCACCCCGCAAAAAAAAUCUCUAUUAAGCUUACCAAUUCUAUCACAAAAUAUUAUAUCUCACUUCUGCAAUGAAAACACCCAAGCUGGAUAGAUCGAUUCCCUGCUGCUAUAAGGCCUGUGUCAACAUCAAACAAUCGGUCUCAAAGAGGGGACUUUGCUAUAUUGCCAGCAAAGCAAGAAGCUCGGAGUGAAAGGGUACGCCUUACUCGCACCUGCCUGGAAGAACGUCCCUCAACUCUUAUAAAUAUGCAUUAAAAAACAAUCAGGCCUGUUACCGCAAUUUCCCGACCUGUAACAAUUAAAGAAAAGUAUAUGCAUUACCAUAAAAGCUUGGAAACUGACGUUAGAAACAUAGGAAGAUGUGUGCACUUGAGAUAUAAACAUCACACGUACACCAAUAUAUGGAGGUUCAACUCGUACAAAACCAAGCUUUUUAAGUCUGAAAAGAUGAGCAAUAUCAGAUGGAACAUAGCCAUGAACAUCACAAUCAGUGGCGUAGCCAGAAAUCUUACCUAAGAGGGUCAUAAUCUGUACAACAACAAUUUUUUCUUUAGAAUCAAUCUUUAUCAAAAUAAAUUUCACAUAUUUUGGUUUAUGAUAAAUCUCUUUCAAACAAUUACAAUUAGAGUCUGACGAAUGAGUGCGGCUAUUGAGAUCUCUAAAUUUGUUCAGUAUGUCUCUCAUUCUCUCUACACCUCCCUUUUACUUUCAAUAUAAACAUUUUCUCACUCGAUCUCGUUUCAAAUUCCUAACAUAAUCUUAGUUAUUUAUUGACAUAUAUUUCAAUUAAUUACUUUAAUUAUUAUUCACUCAAUAGACCNNNNNNNNNNNNNNNNNNNNAUAUAUUUUCUAUAAUCAAUAUAUAUAUAUAUAUAUAUAUAUUAUUUUGACAAAAUAUUUAUGCACCUUGCAAGUAUAUGCGUUCAACAUAGAUGAUAAUACAAAAUUUUACGUCACAUGAUCGAUAUUUGAUCAUUGUUUUAUCUCUUAUAAACUAUGUAUAUAUAUAUAUAUAAAUAUUAUAUAUAUAUCAAAUAUUAUAUAUAUAUAUGCUUUGAUAAAAAGAAAUUAGAAAACGAAAAUAUAUAAGGAAAAUAAUAAAGAAUGUAAUCAAUUAUUAUUAAAUUGGAAAGUCUAAAGAGAAUAAAUAUAAUAUUUCCUUUUGUAUAACUAUUGUCCUUAAUAAUAAUUGUGUAUGAGGAUAUAUAUAUCAUUUAAUAAUUCACAAUAGAGAAUUAUUUGUAUUGAUUGAUGAAUCAAUGAUACAUUUCUUCAUAGAAUAAUUUUAAAUACACACCCUUAAUCUCUUAAUACACACAUUUUACUUAAUACACUACCCAUCUAGUUUUUCAUUUUAAUAUUAUACUAAAUACACAUCUUAAACUACCUAAAAUACCCUCAAUAUCUCUAAAACUAAUAAUAAUCUAUUAUUUAAUAUAAUUUUUAUAUAUUUACUAUUUCACAACUCUCUUUACGUAUUCUCUUUUAUUUUAUGUUAGUUUUUUUUUAUCAGGUUAGAAAUUUUUUCUUGAUAUUUUUCGAUUUAUAAUCAAAAGAGUAAUAUUAUAUUCGAACUCCAAAUCUCCAAUAUGACAUCAAUCGGCCAGAAUUUGAAGAAAAAAAAAUAUUGAACAUACAUAAUUUUUUUUAAGUUAAAAAACUAGCAGAAAUACAAUAGCAUAAAAACUAUUUUUUAGUCUGCAAGAUAAAAACUAAAGUUGAUAAAAAAAAAUCAAAUCAAUAUGUAAAUAGUACAUGUGAUUACGACAAUAGUCGAAAUUCAGGUGAUGAAUUUUAGAAAAGAUGUUUUUAUUUCUUUUCUUUUGUUGUGUAGUAAUAUAGUGGAGAAGAGUUGGGCUUUAGGGGAAGAGGAAGUUUUUUUUUUUUUCCUAAUAAUUGAUUGAUGUUUUUGUAAUUAAACAUACCUAUAAAAUCUGAUGUGAAAUAUAAAAUAAAAGAGGUGUGUAUUUAAAAUUUCUUUUCUUCAUAAAUCAACUAAAUAUCAUCGAAGCAGUAGAAAUUGGGUUGCUUGGUCCUCUAUGAAUCUACAUUUAGAACCUUAAUCGAAUGAAUUAAGCUCUAAAAAAUUAUGAGCAUUGCCAAGAAUUUAAGGUGUUUUGUUUAAUUGAAUUGGGUGAUCAUAUGAGCAAUACAAAAUUCUACUUUCAGCUUAUGUUUUUAGUCUUUGACUUUCCGUCCAUAUGAGAGUGAGAAAACGAGAAAAAUGAGAGGAAACUCAUCUACGGAAAAAGAAAAAAAGAUGAGAGGGAAACGCAGACAAUGUGAGAAAAUGAGGAAGAUGAAAGAUGAGAGGAAAAUCGUCUUCGACCAAAAAAGAAAGAUAAGAGGAAAACAUAGAGAGAAUAUAUUAGUAAAUGAAAAAAGAAAACAAAUUAAAAUAUAUACAGUUCAAUGAUCGAUUAACUAAUUAAAUACAACAAAAAUUUAAAAAAAUGAGAUGGACUUGGGUAAAUGGUUCAAGCUACUCUAUACUUUUUUUUAUGUUUCCUAGCAGAAUGGUCAUUUUUUUCAUUAACAAUUUCUCCGAGUUUGAGAUAGUUGAACCAAUUAGGAUUGGUCUCAGAAACUCAGAGAGGUCAUUUGACUCCUCUCGCCCUAGUGUAGCUACGCCUCUAAGCACAAUUGUACUGAAAUAAAAAAGCACAAGAAAUUUAGCUAUCAAACAGUGACAUUGAAUUCUUGCCCAAGUCUCACUUAUGCAUCACAUAUGAAUUUCACAUAUUCAUGAAAUUCAAGCUGGAAUUCUGAGCUUUGCUGGGAAACUCUCUGGACCGCAAGCAAUCAGUUGAUCUCUGGAUCGCCAACAAGCCACCACUUCUCAUCUUUAGCAUAAGGGUACCUCGGAGCAUCAACAGGGCCCAUAUCUGUCCCCCCGUCAAGGUGGGCUCAAGAUGCACUGAUAGAGUAAUCUGCCUGUUUACCCCCCACUAUCUUACUAUUCAACACAUGCACUGCACUGCGGCUGUGGGUGUAUUUAGGAAACCUUUAGCAAAAUCGUACAACAUCCAACAUCCUUUCAUCUGACAACAUAAGCAGCUUGCAUCUCUCAGCUUCAUUCAGUUGUAACAAAUCAUCAACUGUUUCUAUCCUCUUUUCAGCAUUACGUCUGCAUCUUUUUGCCAACUCUUAUGUGAAGAGAGGAAUUUGCAGGAGUUGCGAGUCACCAUGCCACACUCCUUGAGUCAACAUCUGGUUAACUUUCAUAGCGAGAAGAGCAAGGUGUAGACCUCUAUUUCUGAAACAGACAACAAUGACAUCAACCAUUACCUCCUGUCAGGGACGGAACUAGGGGUAGCUAGGGUUUGCUGCAGCCUACCCCAAGUUUUAGACUUGCAAAACUCAGUGUGUAUAUAUACCAUAACCAACACCCUUCAAAAAGACAAAAACCUCUACCAACUCUUUUUUUUUUUGAAAACUCGCUACCAACUCUUAUGAAUUGAAGUUUUGCAUACUCACCACCAACCUAUAUCGAUUUCUUCUUUAUGUUAUUACCAAGGUUAAUGAACAACUCAUUAACCUUUGUGUAUGAUUUUAACCAAGAAAAGAUGCCCACAUCAAUAUAUGCUCAAUUGCUCAUAAACUUAUAUAUACAUUCUCACAUGCUGAGAAACACAACCUCACUUAUUUUGAUGUUUAUUUUACUGGUUCUGUUUUAGUGAUAGAUCAAAAUCAAAAUAUUAAUGCCAACAAAGUUCUCAUAAGUAAAUCCAGUAUAGGCCUUCAUUAUAUUCAUAAAAAUGUUGUCAUUAUGAGUAAUAUUCCAAGUUCAUAUGAGCAAUAGCUAGUUAAAAGUGUCAUGCACUUGAUCGAUAUACCAUCAUACUAGAAUACACAAUAUUCUGCCAAGCUUUUGAAGAAUUUUUAUUUGGCAACAUAAGGUAAACCUAGCCCACCCGAAUUAUAAUCUAGCACACCCGGUAAAUCUCGAAUCUUGAUAAGAUCACACACGUCUAUUUCUGGAUUCAAGGAAGAACAAAAAACCUCUAUGGUACUAUAAUUGAUGCAGUUGUUUGAAGCUAUCUCACCAAGAUUCAAAGACAAAAGUGGUGUGGCAUCCUGAAUAAAUUUUCUAUCUAUCAAGUCCCUCAAUGUAUCUUCCCCAACCUUGAGACGUGACGAAAACUAUCCCCUUCAACACAACCAAUAGAAUGAUAGUUUGGAUUAGAUACGGCCCUAUGAUGAAAAUAAGUGGUUGCAAGGAAAUCUAAAGCCCCCUUCUUGUCAGUAAUGGUUCCAGCAACAACUUCUGCAUUUAGAAUAUCAUGUAGGUUAAGAGGUAAAUGGCUUUCAACAGACAAUGGCUCUCCCUUCUUAAGAACAUCCCCAUAGUAUGGUUGACUAGCCGUAUGGCAAAAGAUGAUACAUUUUGCAGAACCAUCCUCUUCAGGACAACGAGCACGACCCACCUGCCAAAAAGUCACCUUCAAGUAUAAGAGGCACAAGUAAUAGUAUAGGUAUUAAAAAAGGUUAUCGAAUCCACGAGGAUUAGAUUCCUUUCACUAGCUAGGGUGUUAACCUUAAAAAAGCUGGAAUGUAUAAAUGUACAAUCACAAACAUAAAUAUAUAAGGAAAUCUAGGCUCAUGGUAAGUAUGUGCAAUAUAGAGUAGUGAUUUGAUUUUGGGUUUUUGAAGUAGUUAACUAAACUAAACUAAAUGCUCAAAUGUAAAUUAAAUUACUCUAAACUAAACUAGUGGUCUAAUGAAUGGUGUUAGGAUUUGAAUUGUCUACACUAACCUCUCUUGCAAGUAUUGAUGCAAAUCACUAUGAAUGAUGCUAAGCUCAUCAACCAAUUUCUCUCCUUGCAUCCCUCUCGGGUAUGACAAGGGACAUGCUCCUUUUGUGGUAUCAAGCAACCCCUCUCGGGUGUAGUACUUAACUACUUAAGUCAUACAUUUCAAUCCGGUUAGACAUCUAAUGUAUUACCCUAAGUGCAUAAAGUUUGAAGAUGAAGAAACUAUGCAAACCAACCGAGCUUAUCUCUAAGUGAUUGUAAUUCACAACCCCUACAUGCACACCUAGUGUGUUUUCAUGCUUUAACAUUCAAAGGUUACCAAGCUCUAAACAUUAUCAUGUCAUGGCAAACACACAUACUCAAAGCGGUAAAUUCUAAACAUAUGCAUUCAACUCUUAAACUAGCAUGUAGGAAUGUUAACUAAAAUUGCAUCACAUCAUAAAAUAGCAUCAAUCCAUACAAGAUUGGUUAGGGCUUUCAACCCUAACCCCAACAAAGUACUACUCACUCAUAAUUACAUAAACAAACUCCAUAAUCAAAUCAAACAUCAAAAUAGAUCUAGAGUUUAAGGGAGAGAGCUGGCUUGGUGGUAUGUCGAUUUGUCCCCAAGUUCACGUCUUGGUGGUGGUGGUGAUGGUGGUGAUUCCCUCUCCUUCUUGCUCUUGAAGACUUGAUGAUGAAAGGUAGUGAAGCUAGAUCUAUGCUUUGUGUGAAUAGGUGGAGUGGAUGGAGAAAGUGAUAUAGGAAAGAGAGUGGAGAAAUGGUGUAGUAGUGGUGGUGUUAAUGGAGGAUUGAGAUUAGAAAUAGUGGUGGUGAUGGAGGAGAUGGAGUAGAUUGGGGGAGGAAGAGGAAGAUGAUCGGUUUGAAUUUUAGGAGAAGAAGAUGGAGGUUUGUGGUGGAAAAAGAGAGAGAAAGGGUGUGUAGUGGUGAAUGGGUGGAUGGUGAAUAUAUAAAGAGAAACGAUGAUGGAAAGUGGGAGAGAAAAAGAGAGAAAUGGAGCACUCCUCUUUGUUCCAUCCGGAUGGAGCAAGGGAAAGGAAAAGAGAGAGUAACAAAAGUCAAUAAAGGGAGAUGGAGUGUUAGAGAAGAGAAAGAAGUACAUAAUGAUGAGUUAUGAGAGAGUAGAGUAGGAAAAGAUGACUAAAGAUAGAGUGAAAGGGCAAUUAGCUUUUUCAAAUGCAUUGGGAACAAGAAGAGAAAAUGUGUAGAGAUAGUUUUGAGUCACCCAAAUCAAGUGGACAAACAUAGGAAAGCAUGUGUGCAUGGUGAUGCCUAUCAUCCAAAAUAUUAUAACAUGGAUUUCAUGUGUUACUCAGUCACCAUUCUUCUCCUUGCUCUUCCUAUAUGAUGACCGGAAAGCUUAAGGUGGUGCACCGCCAUUUGUGCCACCAAUAGUGGUGGUUCGCCGGAAUCCGGAAAUUUACGUUUCGUUCCACAUUGAACCGCAAUUCUUCUUAGCUUCGAUUCUUCAUAUUAAUACCAACAAUCAAUGUUUCCUUCACUCUUGCAUUUUACCUAGAUAAAUAGAUAAAUGAUUUAGUGAAAGCUAAAAUGAACUCAAAAACAAGUUAAAGUCAAAGUUUAAGGCAAUAUAAACAUAUGUAAAUUAUGGUCUAACACCACCAUCUGCCACAUAUCAUAAGCAGAGUAAUCAACAUUGGGCAUUUUAUGUUCAUCAUGAUAUUGUGUUCCCAUCAUAAGCACUAAAUGUGCUGAUAGCGAUACUCCCCAACACAUUGAGUUGCUCGUGACACAAAUUUGAAUCUUCUCAGCUUCAAAAAGCUGUACUACAAUUUUUUGAUCAUCACAUGUCAAGCCCUAAUGCAAGAAGCAGACACCAUUGGGCAAAGUGCGUUUUAAGAUUUUAUUACAAUAAAAUUUUCUAAUAUAAGGCAACAAUGGAGAUGACUGCAUCCUAUUGCUGCCAGCACUUAGAAAAGUAAUUAAAUUAUGUGUUGAUGCCGAUUUUUAGCACCAACGGAUCAACGGGGGUUCCAUUGACAUUGAACGUGUAAAAUGGUAGAGUUGUUCUCUUGUAGUGGGUCUAUCUUCCUCCUCGGUUAGUUUGUCCACAAACGUAGUCCUGGUUAUCCACUUCUGAUUAAUGAAAGUAUGCCUCGGUAGUUCUUGGUGGUCCACCGCAUGUGAUUAGAGGAAUGACAUUGAUGGUCUUGUGCAUGCAACUUCCUAGAAUGAGAUUGGAUUCUUGAUCAUGGAUGUCAGCUCUCCUCUUCUUAAAUUAAGGUGUCUUAGAGCAUGGUUGGGGUUGUUUAGCGGAGGUGAUCAUAUAGCCUUUGACAUCCUUCACUCGAUGGUGAGCUUCCUCCACUUAAUGGUGAGCUUAUGCCACUCCUUUGUUGGGUGGAACUAAUAGUAUAGCCCCGAGUGUUGAUGAUGGGUUUCCUUCGGUCAAUGUUGAGCCUUCACACUCCUUUGUUGGGUAGAACUGAUAGUCUCCUUUUAGACUUCAUCCACUUGGCGUUAAGCUUACUCAAUUGGAUUGUGGACUUCCUACAUGUGAUGGUGGUGCCAUUGCUCCUCUGUUGGAUGAUGCUGAUACUCUCCUCUUGUACUUCCUCUACUUGACGUUGAGCUUCCUACACUUGACGACGAGAGCAGCUUUCGCCAUGAAGAUGAUCUACAAAAGUGAAGAGAAGGAAGGUCAUCGGAGGACCAGCUUAAGGCGGGCAAACACUCUUCGACGCCCAAAUCAAUAGAGUUCUUGAACAAUGAUUGAAGAUAUGAAAAGUGUAUGAUGCUUUAGCAUUGGGCCGAUGCAUCCCUAGCAUGUGAGCAAAGAAAGAGAUGGAGAGAGAUUAUGCACUUUGGCAUAAUCUUUGGGGGAGAAGUGAGAUAGCUUCUCAUAUGCAUUUUGGCAUGGUUUUUGGGAGAGAAGAGAAGAAGAAAUGGAGUUGUAGAGAUAAAGGGAGAUUAUGCACUUUGGCAUAAUCUUUAGGGGAGAAGGAAUGAUAGCCUAUCCUAAGCAUUUUGGCAUGGUUCUUGGGAGAGAAGAGAAGAAGAAAAUGGAGAUGUGUAGAGAUAGAGGGAGAUUAUGCACUUUGGCAUAAUCUUUGGGGGAGAAGGAAUGAUAGCCUCUCCUAGGCAUUUUGACAUGGUUUUUGGGAGAGAAGAGAAGAAAAAAAUGGAGAUAUGUUGUCAGGACCCACCCCGAAUUUCACCCUGAAAUUCGAAGUAAACCCUGCGAGGUCCACCUCAAGAGAGAUUUUACCAAAAAUUUCGGCAUAACCUCCCUUGAAAAUGGACAACCCUACCUGAUCAACACUAACCUGCAACACACUUCUAAAAUCAUAUGCCAACCAUGUACUCUUGGAGCCUACCUGCUCCCCAAAUUCCUCACAUCUCCCAAAAUAUAUCAAGCCUUAAUAAACUAAUAACAAUCUCAAAUGAUUAUCAGAGCAUAUCUAUAACGAACGAAUAACAAUGAAUAAAGAAUAAGCGAAACAGCCUCUGACUAUGCCUCGACGUCAUGUACACUCGACCUCAAAUAAACUUAACCUGUAAACUGGGCAUUAAAAAUCAAAGGGCCCAGGGGAAAGUAAUUUAAAAACGUUAGAGUGAGUGGACAAAAAUAAAUUAAAUAAUUUAAUAAAAACAUAAUUAAAAUACUUUCUCACAUUUAAACUUUAAAACCUCGAUGCACGCAACUUUGAUAUAACAUUUAACUUUAACUCCAAAAUCACAUAAAAAUAGACAAACCAGCCCCACUGGUUAAUCAAAUAUAUAAAUCUUGUCAGAAGAGAUAAACCAGCCCCGCUGGUUAAUCAAAUACAUAAUGGAGAAAAAUUAUCACCAUGUAAAAGGGGAAGAGUUAUCCCAUGCUAUAAUAAUGUAUCACGCUAAGCGCUCAACUCACCUAUGGUGAUGACCGCUAAUAAAGACUAGCUAGCAAUAAAUAAUAACCGAUUGCUGCCUUCUAGGCUAUAGUAGCGUCCCACGCUAAGCACUCGACUCACCUAUGAUGAGGACCGCUAAUAAAAGCUAGAUAGUAAUGAAAUAUGAGCGACCCUAUAGUAUGGUGACUAAAAACAUACGAAAUCAGUUACAUCCAUAAAACUUCACCAAUGUCAUAUAAAUGGUACGGUUCCCAACCGUACUUGGAAGUUAUCAUAAAAAAUUAUAAUAAAACUUAAUGACGUGUCUCAUACGUCGAAAUAUUCUCAAAUCCAUAAUUAUAAGCGAUAUUUACUCCUUAAGUAAAAAUUGUAAUUAAUAACUCAAUCUGAAAUAUUCGCUAUACAUUCUCAAGGUCAAGAUAGAUAUUCCAUAAAUAAAUGAUAAAAUUAUAAAUAACGAACUACCAAAAACCCCCAUUUUUGAAAAUCUUUUAAAAAUCUCAAAGUCCACACUCAAAUUCCAAAUUAAUAAUCCGAGCUCAAAUCCAUAAAUCAUGACCAACAACUCAUCAAUGCAUCAAACUCAAACAAUUUCCAAGAUCAUUUCAUAAGCCGAAAUUAUAAUAUACGCUCUAUUAUAAAUUAUAAAAUCUUGCAUGCAUAAGCCCGACGAUAUCCGAAUCGCCACUCAAGCAAGAUCUCCUCGUAUCCUGGCACAAUUACCAUGCUUAGGACCAAUCUUCAAUUUUAGAAAAAUAAAUACUUAAAUAUAAACACCAAAACUCUUCCGCUUAACCCACUACCCUUAUUAAGGUUAAUCUUAUCGGAUUUAUGUCAAACUCCUCCCGCAACCUCAUUUUAUUUAUUUCAACAAUCUAAAGCAGAAAUAAGGGAAAUCCAACAGUAGGAUCUUCCUAAGAAGAACACCGAUAAAACCAAACUUUGAAUAAUCUCAAACAUAUUUAAAUCUUCACCAUAAUUCUCAAACUUCACACCAUUGGACUCCUCUCAUCAUAACCAAAUUAAAUAACACGAAAAAUUACCCAUAAGAGGCUGCUGCCGGCCACCCAAAAUCUAACCACCUCCAAUGACUACUAAAUUUUGACACAAUCUUUCUCUCAACAUUCUAAACAACUUUCAUAACUACCACAUUGAACAAUUUUAAGCAGAAACAAGUCAAUCGAAUCAAAACAUUAAAAAAAUCCCAAUUUCAAAACCUUAGAACUUCACACCUUCGAUUCUCCUUACCUACCUCGAGUUAGAUCGAAUCCUUUUAAGGGUUUGUUGUACGAGAGGAGAGCUUCCAAAUGAGACCAGCAGCUCCGGUUAUCGUGGCUGAAAAAGGAAGUUUCCGGCGAAACUCCACCAUGCACAACCGUGGCUUUCGGGACUGAUUUCUCCUUCAUGGCGGCGCAACACAGCCAGCCACCUACCUAGACUUGAAGAGGAUGUUUCAAGCUUCGAUUUGAUACCUAGCUCGCCCCCUAACUCGGCCGGACAACGGCGGACGGAGACGAUGAAGUUCCGACAGCAAUUUUGGAAAUUCAGGGCAAUUUCUGAAUUAUCCUAAAUGGGGGGGGGGGGGUCUGAUUUGCUAUUUAUAGAAGUUGAGUUUCCUGAAAAAUUACCAAUCUGCCCCUGACUUUAAACCCUUGUAACUUUUUCGUAUAAACUCCGAUUAAAACGUGCCACAUAUCCACGAACUCGGUUUAACCUCCUCUACUUUCUCAAAUUUCAAAUGAAGGAAAAAUUCAAAUUUUAAAGCCACUAAAAACUUGAAUACGAAUGUUAAAAGUAAAAAUAGGAUGCUCAUUUACGGUCCAAAUGACGGUAAAUGGUCAAAUAAGGUCCAGUCGUCACAUGUGUAGAUCUGAAAUGAAUAAGGAUGGCUUCCUUUUAUAGGGCUAGGGGUGGUUGUAGUUGUUGUGUGGAGUAUGGACUUUGUACUCAAAGCAUGCUCAUCAAUCUAUUCUUGACACGUCAGUACUGUUCUCAACAUGGGCUCUUCUAACACAAGAUGGGGCUGAUGGUUGGUGGAGGGUCAGGUCACGUGUCACAUAUCUAUGGCUCCAUUGUCCUUGAGUCAGUCUUAAGCCAUACCUAAAAGACAUGCUUGAUGUUGGAGCUUGAAACAUGGAAGAUUGGUGGAGUGUCAGGAUACAUGUCGCACAUCCAAGAUAACUUUGACUCUCGAAUCACCAUUCAUAUGUCAUGAGAACCAUACUUGAUGUUAGAGCAUGACACGUGCAAGAGUUGGUGAGUUUCUCCUUGGCACUCCAGCUAACUAUUGCAUGUCUAAGAGUGACCUGAGAGUCGAGGAUCAGCCUUGGAGGUUGUGGCUAUGACAACUAGGGGUCGAGUCUUCUAAACCUUGGAUGUCGAACUCUUGGCCUGAGAGUUAAGGCUCUUGAUCCAUUUGGACAUGGCUUUCCUAAUGGUUAGGUGAUGAUAUGCUCUAGUCUUGCCAUGCCUGAAAGUGAGGUAAUCACUUGGUGAUCAUCCAAGAUACUUAGUGGUUGUCCAAGACACUUGGUGAGAGUCCAAGGUUUGAGACUUGGAAUGCUAAAUUUGGCACGUUAAAAGUUUAAGUGUGUUGAAAGCAAUGGCGGAGCCAAGAAUUAAACUUAGGGGGGGUUCAUAUAUAGAGUACCGAUCAUUAUACAAAAAAAAAAAAAAUACCAAUCAUUUGGUCGUAUAAUUGAAUCAUUAUAUCAUAAGUUAAAUCCUGAAAACACAAUAAUAUAACACCAAUAUAAAAUUUUUAAUCAAUAAAAUCAAUUAAAAAUAAAAUUCACUGAGUUCAGAAUUUUCAGACCUUUUUCAUUUAGCUGUAAACCACUUAUAAAUAAUCAUCUGUAUGGAGAUACUCAACUAGGGAUUGCAAAUACCAGCAAAUAAAAGUAGAAUGUUGUAAUUCAUUAUGAGAGUAAUGACUUAAUGACAUAAAAUAUUCUUGUUAAAUUUUACUUUGACUUUCUAGUUUCUAAUAAAUAUUAUAGUAUACUGUUUUUUAAAUUUAUCAUUAUUUAUACUAUUUUUUUUAUUAUAAAGAAGAUGAUAAUCAUAUGGAUAGCUAGGGAUUCAUUAUCUUAAUGUUCUUUGUAACGUGGGGUAUUCUUUGUUUUCGAAAGGAUANNNNNNNNNNNNNNNNNNNNGGGGGGGGGGGUUUACUAUACAAACACACCUAUACAUACCAUUAGUUAAUUAAAGAUUACCUACCAUCAUCGUAUCUGCAGAAUAGCUGACAGGGGUCCAGACCCCGUUAGGCCGGACUGUAGUUCCGCCCCUGGCUGAAAGGUCAGAGUCCUAUGUGGCUCUUUGACAUUUCAAUGCGUCCUACGUGGAAUGAGUUGAAAAAGUCAAGUUUUGUUGUCGAUCCAAAUUAUGACAUCAACAUUAUGCACUGCUGGUUAGACAUGUAAAUCGAUAGGAACAUAUACCAGAUAUGGCCUCCCAUUCCUAGCAUGAUGGAAAGUUAUAGUACCCGCUAACCUUGCCAAGUUAGCACCUGUUACCUUAACAUCAGGCAAAUCCACCUCCAUUAGAAUAACACGGAUUGAGGUCAGACUCGAAGAAAAAUUGAACUGGGCAUUUGCCUCAACACCUAUCCAUCUGCUCAUGUCGUUUGCUUCGUCAACAGGACUGGAUAAAGCAACAAUGCAUAUCCUUUUUAUUGGAAAAGUGUGGCUUAGAUAUGAGUCAUUUGGAAUCCCACAACGGAAACAUGAAAGAGUCAGCAUUGCGUUAUAAGGAAUGAUACCACACACACUAAAGUUGAUGCCUUUUGUGUAAAACUUCAUACUCUUUUCUCCACUAGGUGGCUAAAGUAGGAGAGUAUUGACAUUAUUGAACCCGUGUGUGUGGGACUUAUGGGGCCCGUUAAUUACAUGUAUUUUUACACAAGUAAUUAGUACUCAAACAAGUGAAUUAAGCCAGACCUCAUGCCAAUUAAUAUGUAAUUAAUCCAUUUUUAUUUAUCUUGUAGGAAAUAAAAAGAGUAGCGGAAACGAGCGAAAACGACACAAAAUGAGACCAAUUUGUGUCUUUCAACAUAGAGACAAAGUUAUGGAGAUCUUAAUUAAUCAAGGCUUAAUUGCAAAUUAAGAAUUUGGUUAAUUAAGCAAAAGGUAGAAGAAGGCAAAGGCAAGCUCACGUGCUUCACCACCAGCACCAUUUCCUUUUUUUAUUCUCCAAUCAUGUGGUGACACGUGGCACAACACACCUCCCUCAUUUCUCUUCCACACGAGAGAGUAGUAAUAAAUUUAACCUAUAUACUAUUUUCUGAGAUGACGUCAGCACUGUUCAUGAAGUACUAUUCCCGUGAGCAGUGCUGGGCUUAGGCAUGUUCGAGCUUCUAGCGUCUUCUCCCAAAAUCUCUCUAGACGCUUCUCGCCUCCUCUGCUGCCUGUCUCUCUAUACUCUUCUCCCAUUCUCUGCCGCUCAAGAGAGGGUUUGCUCUUCUCACUUUCUCUCUCGCCCAAGAUCUCUCUCUGUAUCUCUCUCACCUGUUCCUUUGGUCUUAGCUCGGAGGUGUGUGCUCUCCUGAAACGUCCAUAAAGAUCUACAUAGAAAACUCCAGCUAUUAUUAUCCUGACCAAUCUCAACCAGUUCGGGCUGGGUAUAAACCCUGGGUUUCUGACUUUUCUCUCGCCUUCCAGAUCGUUCUUGAGACUUGCCCUUUUCUCUCCCCAAAAAUCUGAUCUUCGCUCUUGCAUCCAUCCGACUCUAAUCCUCCACCUUGCUGAAAUCUCGCCUUCUUCAAAACCGCUUGAAUCUUAUAAGUCUCCUCAUCAUCUCAAAAAUCUGGUGGGUUGUGAAUUUUUUUUUCCUAGGUUUUUAUCAUUUUUUUUGUUUGAAUGAUUUCUUUUCAUGUCUUCAGGUUCUGUGAUUGAUUGCCUUUCUUAGAAAAGAGAGUUCUAUCACGGCCAAGAAAUGUACUGCUUCUUGAGUAAUUGGUUUUCAAUUUAUUCUUCUUCUGAAUUGAGGAAAGAGUGCCUUCUUCCGAAGGAAGAACAUCUUCUUCUUAAAUUGAAUCCUUCUGCUACAAAAUUAUGUUGUUAAGGAAAUUGAGAUAUAGCUUUUACUUUCUUUUUUUUCCAUCAAGUAUUGAUUUCAGUGAAGGACUAUCAGUUGGUUCCAUUGUCUUGAUGUGCACAUAGACAUGCAGAUAGAGCGUGGCAGCACUUUAUAAUAGCAUUAUUCCACUCAUUCCAGUUAGGUAACAACAUACUAGACCUGUUGAGCAUUUUUAAAAUUAAGCACCAAGUGCAUUUUCUCUUGACAAAAUCUACAGUUAGGAGAGUGUGCUUACAAUCUUGCUUGCACAAUAAUUCCUUGCCAUCAUAAUGUCAGAAUGAUAUCAAUUGAUUGAAUUAGUUUUGGUGAAGUUGUAAAGUUGAUUUCGUAAUUUAGUUGUUGUUUUGUUUGGUUUUAAAAAAAAAUUAUAUGAUAUAUAAGUUAACUGUCAACUUUAAUCAUUGUUCCUUUCUUUGUUGACUGUUGAUUGGUACUAUCCUCAUUCAUUGUUCUCAAUCAAGUACAAAUAAAAUUGUUAUUAGGACCGUAAACUUGAAAGAUCAAGGAAAAAAAAUUAAAUUUGUGCCCCCCAGAUCGUUUUCAGAUAUUAAAAACUUGAGUACUAGCACCAGGGCAACAGUUUUCCAAAUUAUUGGUUUACACCCUAAACUUUAACUUGCCACAUUACCAAUUCUACUUUGUAUUUUAUUGUUCGGGGAGGAAACAAGCACAUAAUACAGAUAAACCCAAUAAGUUCAUCUUGCAUUCCCCAUGAGUUUAUGCAAAGUUCAAAAGGCUAAACCAUGCCCUUCAAACGUGUCUUUGCUUCAAUAAUCUUCCUUUUUACUCAAAUUAUUGGUUUUUUUUUACAGUCUUCCUUUACUCUAUUAAAACCCAAAGGACUUUCCAUCAACUGACGCAUUAAUCUCCCAUCUCUUUUGCUCUUAUUGUAAAUAGAAAAGGAAACACUUGGCAGUUUCUGUUAUCUGUUCUCUGAUAUUAGCAUCAAUUCUUCUCAACAGGCAAGUCCAGUUAUUCGGCCUUAUGUCUUUCUCUUUAGUAAAACAGUAUGUUUUCAUUGUUUUAGACCUCCCAAGGAAUCAAUUAUGGCAAUCAUCUGCAUUAUUAUGUUAUCGUGCAUCAUAAUGUAUACAUGGUGGAACUAGAACCUCAGGUACAAAACCGUGGAGAAUGCAAUGCUGAAGCAAAAUAGUUGAACUAGAAGCUCAAGUACAAAACCAUGGAGAAUGCAAUGCUGAAGCAAAACAGUGGUACUAGACUAGAAAUUUUCUUAUUUGAUAUCAAAUAAUUAUAGUCAAUGGAACUUACAAAUGUGUAUCACUACAUUCUUAUUUUCUCAUACAUUUAUCAACUUUUGUGUUUUUUAUUUCAGCUAUCAAACAUAGUUAUGCUCCAUAGAAGUUAGAGAAAAAGUUAUUUACAUGAACUUUUGUUGUUAAGGUUAGUUUUUCAAAUUGUGUUAAUUUGUUUCCAGUUUAUUUUCUUAGUUUAGGGAAGUGGAAUAUGCCUAGACCAACGGUUUGGCAUUCACAUACUGUUCAAUCCUCAGAUUAACAAUGUAGAUAGAACUUAUUUAAUCUUUCACUCAAUUCAUCUUAACCAUCUCUUAAGUGGUCUAUGCUUCCUUCUAGUGGAGAUUUUGUAACUUUCAGGGUACCAUGUAUCAUUGUUUUGUUGUAUCUUUAGAGACUAUGUUUCUCUCAUACUUUGUAGUUUAUAUUACAGUAGUUGUCCAAUGAAGUAUUAGUCUAGCUUUCAAAUGUUUGUUGUUUCUAUACCCUUUUUUUUGCUGACAUCUGGUGACUACGUGCAUUGAACUUUUUGGGUUGGUUGCAAUUUACAAGUAGAUAGAACAAUUCCCAAGUUGUGCAUCUUGCCGGUAGAAGUUUGGAACCAUUGGUUGCAUUAUAGCAGGAAUUAAAAUACUUUUGAUGAACUUUUGAUGACAUUUGUGAUCGGUAUGGCUGUUGGACUCCAUGUAUAGUUUCACAAAAUGUACUAUAGCAUGUAGCAUAUUAUGAUUUCCUUUUUGUUCCAAGUUUGAGAAUUAUUUAAAUGUGAUGUUCAAGUUUUAGCAAGAAAUAAUUCUGUUUUUAUAUUUUUUUUCAGCAAUAUUCCAUUAAAUUUUUUAUGGUUUUGGUUACUGAUUUUACUACACAAUUUAUAUCUUGAGUCUAGAAUAUAGAAGUUGGAAACUUCUCUAAUUAUGUAUCUUGGAGUCUAUACCUAGACACUCUGCUCAUUAGUACCCUAUUUUCCCUUCUAUAUUGUCUUUUUCAUUACAACUGAAAAAAUGCAAUUUUGUGUGUGUCUGUGUGUUAUUGUCAGAUCUUUUUGGAAGUUAUUCACUGUGAUUAGGCUCUCCUAACUCUCUACUAUCUCACCAAAAAAAAUCUCUGCUAUUUCAAUUUACAACGACAGCCAGUCACAUAAUUGUAGAUUGAACAACCGGCGAUACCUCAGACAAGUUGACCUAGAAAGUAGUUUGUAAGUGUAGAGCUGUUUUUGUUAAAAAUGAACAAUUUGAAGUUCUAUCUUUUGAAAAAUGUAGAAUAGACAAGUCUACUGAAAGCACGAACUUAUGAAUUAUGUAAAUAUAAAUAAAAAUGUGCAACACUGAUCAAUCAAAUGUACCUCUAGCAACGUGAGGGCACAUUUCUAGUCUUUAUAUAUUAAACCGAUUGGGGUAGAUUAAUGUUCACGUGAAAAGUUCCGUGACGGUUUUACCCCUCCGUUUUUUCCUUUAUUUCAGUUUUGCCCUUUAUUUCUUAGUUUUUUUCAUUAUUUACUUUUUGCCCCUCCGUUUUUUCCUAUAUUUCAGUUUUGCCUCUCACCCCUCAGUUUUUUCUUUAUUUGAAAUUGGCCCCUACGUUUUCCCCUUUAUUUCAAUUUUUCUCUUUAUUUUUUCCUUCAUUUCAGUUUUGCUCCUCAUCCCUCAGUUUUUUCCUUUGUUUUAGUUUUGCGCCUUAGUUUUUUUUUCUUUUUAAUUCUAUACGUUUGACAUGAGAGGAAAUUGCAUUCUAAUAAUAAUAUUGAGAGAAAAUUAAGUCUGCUCCAAACUCAAAUAUGUUGAUCAUUGUCAGUUGCGUGCAGUUAGUAAGACAAAAAUAUUACAAUUUAAGUUUCGUUCAUGACUAAUUUUUAAUCAUCACAUUAAUUGUUCCUUUAUUUCAUUUUUAACUACGGAUUUAAAAAACAAUUUUUCCUGUCUUGACGAGGCUGAUGGUAGCGGAGCCAAUAUUGUUACUUCGUUCACUCAGAACAAUUGACAUUGAACGUGUAAAUGUUUACAAUUAAUUCCCUUUUGAUCUAAUUUAUGGGUUGGGCUUACAUAUCUAAAAACAAUGUCAUGUACACAUGUUUAUUUACUUUUGAUUAUUGUUUAGCUUUCUUUCAAAAUGGAAUUCAAAUGUGGGGUUAACUUCGUUUUCUAAUAUUAUCUCUCUCAAUUGUGUCAUUUUUAUUUAAAUUUCAUAAAGUUGUUGUCUGUGAAAACCGCACAAUAAUUGAUCGAACCAGCAAAGAUUUUAAAAUAAUUAUUCAACAGACGGAAAACACACUUCUGCACGCGCGCGAGCGCGUGUGGGAAGGCUAGUAUCAAUAAUUAACCCUAUUCAUUUGAGGGGAGGAGCAGAGGGCCGCACACAGCAAAACGGGAAGGGCUGUGCCCUUUCCCUUCCCCUUUCCAUCGUUCCAUUCUCUCCUCUCACCCUUCCGCCCUCUACUUUAAUUCUUCUUUGGUUCUUUGUAAUUUGUUUUGGGCAUUUGAAGGAGUACUCACCCAUCAUCAAUUUUGUCAAGUUGAGGAGAAGCAAGAGGCAAUCACUAUUUGGGUAAAAGGGGGAAAUCAUAAUUCCAAGGCUUGUUAUUUAUGUUUUUAGCAUUUGUGACUUGUCUUGGUUGUUCUUCCUCUUCUAUUCCCUUUCUCCUUUUAUUUGUAUGAAAUUGAUUGAAUUAAUGAUGUAUGUAUUUAUGGGUAGUGAGUAGAACACUUUUUGGGAGCAAGGAUUUCUACCUCUAGCUCAAUUUUGAUGUAAUGAACACAUUUUCAAAGUAAUGGAUAUCGUAUUUUCUUAUGGGUGCACUCUAAUUAUUAUGCUUAUUGAUUCUUGAUGCAUUAAUUUAGGGAAUUGAUCACUCUCUUUGUUAUGUGUUAAGAUUUGUGAUGUGUGUUACAAUUGGUGGUUCUUUUGUUCACUAGCUUCUUGUAAUUAGUGUGGUGUGUCAAGUAGUUGCUUAAUCAAAAACUAAUGAUUGCUUAAGUUUCUAUUGUCUUGUACUCUUCGCCUUUAGUCUUAUUGUUGUGGCCCUAACAUGGCAUGAUAAUUGUGAUUAGAGAGUUCAUUCUUGCCUUGAUCGGAAGAGUGGAUACCAAAUAGGAGAAAUUGACUUAGUGGCCUUGACCGGCAUUAGGUACGAAACUAUGUAGUUGUGACAUUCUAGGUUGUAACUAUUGCAUGCUUAAAUCCCUAACUUCUAGAACUCUUCGCCUUUGGUUUAUGUUUUAGUAGCCCUUGAUAAGGUACUAGUCCAUGAUCUAGAGAGUUCAUGUUUGCCUUAAUCAAAUAUGAAUACCCUUAAGGAAGUUAGGCUUAGUGGCCUUAACUGGCAUUAAGUACGGGAUAUGGUACUCAUGAAGAUUUGUUUAUUUGCUUGAAAUUUGUUUGUUGCAUUGAAAUUGCUAGAGCGAUCCCUAGCGCCCAAAUCCCUCAUUCUAUUAUUUUCCUUCUUUUUUAUUUGUCAUUGUUACCCGUCUGCCACUUCCGCGUAACAAGUAGUAUCAAAGCCUAGGCUACUCUUGGGACUUGGUGUCUAAUACGAUCGAGUUGCAAUUUGGUGGAGCUCUCGUUUGGAUUGGGAUCACAAGAUUCAGAUGGUUGUGAUCGAGGUUGAGCUAUUGGAAUUUGGAUCGUGAGACAGUUGGAGAUGGUUCUAAUCACGCCAGGUGGAGAUUAUUGGAAAAGUGUGGCUUAGAUAUGAGCCAUUUGGAAUCUCACAUCGGAAACGUGAAAGAGUCAUCGUUGUGUUAUAAGGAAUGUUACCACACACACUAAUGUCAAGAUUUUUUGUGUAAAACCUCAUACUCGUUUCUCCACCGGGUGGCUAAAGUGGGAGGAGUAUCGGCAUUAUUGGAUCCGUGUGUAUGAGACUAGUGGGGCCCGUCAGCCACUUCCACAUAACAAUUUCUAGAGCGCACGGUAGCUAGGGUUAGGGUUUUUCUUUUGGUUUACAAACUUAAAACAAAAGGUUUGAUAACGUGUUGAAUGAGAGAAUAUAACGAUCAAUAAGGAGAGAAUAUAACGAUAAAAAACUGUCUGUUUAUUCGUUGAUAGAAAGAUCUAUUUAUAGACAUUACAUAGAGUCUCCCAAGAGUCUCCCAAAGGAUCUAGAUUUUCUAUCAAUACAGUAGUUUAUUCUAACGAGGAAUGGAUUAUAUCAAGACACGUAACAGGAGGACAUGAAAGUAAUUUCAUUAAACAACUACGAUUAAAAAUGCUAUUGUUAUAUAUAAACGACAUGAAAAAAGCAAAAGAAAUCUCUAUUCCUUUCUCACGGCUUUGAUUCAGAUAGUGAUUUUAUACCUCCCAAAAUUUUAUUGUUGAAGAAUCUCCAAGUUCGUUAUCGUAGGUUUGGAUUUGGGACUUUAAUUUCUACAAAAAAAAAAAAAAAAGUUUGGAUUUGGGACUAUCCGCGUUGAUUUUUUAGACAUACAUUUUGUACGAUCAAAAUCUAAUAGGUUGGGUCGUGUUGUAUUUCUUCUUUUUGUACAAUCAAAUUUCACUAGUUUGUUUUGCACUACUUUGGAAAACGCUUAAGAUUGUUACUUAGACUUGCUCUUUAUUUUCUCACAUCCAGGUGAUGUAUUUGUGAUAACUCCAUUUGUUUCUCUUCAUUGUUAAUAUUCUUAAGCAAAUCUUGUUUGUCACUCGCAGCCAUAAUAUAUAUAAAGGAAGAAUUAUCCUAAAACCAGUUAGAGACCCUAUCUUGUUAGACUUGCUUUGGUUGUUUCUUCGCCCAAAAUGACAGAAUUGGAACAUGCGACAGAAUUGGAACAUGGAAAAGGUAUGUCCACUAAUGUUUUGAUGUUGCUUAUUUGGUUGCAUGUACUAAUACAAAAUGACCCGUUAUAGAUUGCGGACACGACGAGUCUGGCUCGCUGAGAACACAGGGUGGGACUGGGAGAAAGUAGAUGAAGCAAUCAAGAGAUUAGCUGCUUUGAGUAAGGAGAAGAUGCGCCAGACUUAUGAUGAUAGCUCAUUGCCCUCUACUUGUGCCAUCUGCAAACGCCGUUUUAUUAUUCCUGUUGAAACUUCAUGCAAGCAUUACUUCUGCAGUCACUGUGCAGAACAGGUAAUUGCCAUCCUUAUUGUUUUGUUGCUGUAAUUUGAUGUGAAUGAAUUACCGCCUUGGAUUUAUGAAUCAAGUGUUACAUGGAGUCCUUCUGCUUUCUGACGUUUCUUUCAAGUGAUUUCUAAUGUUAUCUGCUUCUUAUUCGCAGCAGCAUUUAGACAACCACAAGUGCUUUGAAUGUGGAAAACCUACUGAUGGCUUAUUCAAAGCAGCUCACUACCUGGCUCUAAAGAUGGAGAGGGAGGGUAAGUAACAGCAUAUUUCGUUACUUAUCAAUCUUUUGGUUUGAACAAAGUCACUCUGAGUUCUGUCUAUGAAAGAUUAGUGUAUGGAAUGCUCCACAAUGGUGCCAGCUCCAGGAUUAUUGUUUUCUCUAUAUAAAUUAACUAUGAGCAUUCUUCAAUUGGAUGGUAGACAGUAGAGGACAGUCCUCUCUUUAGAGAGUUUCUAAAGCAUAUGUCAAGUUUUGCUUUGUUUACUUACCACGAUUUUCCCUAUGACUAUAAUGUGCAGUUACUUAUGUAUGAUGUACCUAAAUCUAAUCUCGUGUUUUUCCAGAGUUACUAUUUUCUACAUCAGUACAUCACCUCACUUUUGUUUUGGUUAUAGUGUUGGACAACGACCAAAAUUGCUACUGUUUGAGAGUGGUUCUCUGUAUUAAACUUUGUAUUUCAAUGGUAUACAGUACUAACAUUUGCCACUUGCAUUUCCAGCCCGGAGCAAGCCAUGGAAGCCAUCAAAGAGCAUCAGAAAGCAGAUGCUUGAUGAAGAUAUCUCAGAAGCGAAGGGUUGCUAAUUGUUUCCCACUCAAUAAAUACAUUGUUGUUUUGCAUUCCACUGUAACGUACUGAUGGAUUGCUCUUUUUCAUUUCCAGUUUGGAACUUAUGGAACACAUCAGAGAAGCAAAUAGUUGAUGAAGAUGAGCACGAUAAGGAUUUACUCUCUGGGAGCAUUGUAGUCCCCAAUGAUAGAAACAAAUGAAAGAUUUGCAUAUGCCUCCAAAGUCCAAACUGCCAACAGUUAUCGUUCUAGCACAUUUCAAGCAGGGCUUUAUAAAAAGAGAAACAAAGACUUGGUUUCACCCUCUGAGUUAUAUAGGGGUCAGGGUUUGAGUACCAGCUUCUUAAUCAGAAAGAGGAUGUCUCUACUUUUGACAGCCAACGCCACUUAAACCCUGUAAACCCGUUGUGGUUUAUGAUCAAGUAGCCUUCAUCUUUUUUGUUCUCCUCAACCUUACCCAUUUGAAUCAUCACGAAUUUUCCAUCAUUUUCAUAACAUAAAAAUGAAGAGAGACAUCAUUGGAGUUUCUGUGUAGCGUCAAGCAGUUAAGGGCACAAAUUAGAGUGAAGUCGGGAAGAUGGGGGUGCAAAGAGAAAAAUUAUGGGCAAAAUUGAAAAUUUGGUGUUCAAUGAUAUCAGAGGUACAGAAAGCAAAUUCUGAAAUCUAAAUAGAACCCCUCUUAAAGUCUUAAUAAUAUUGACCAGAACUUGAAACAAAAGAUGAAACCACACAGGCCAAUUGUUCAGGACUAGUCAAUUCAGCAGAACCUGUACAUCUCCUGACUGAAAAACAGAAAGAAAGAAGAGGAUAUACAACUGAUACACACACCUUCAAGUUCAUUAAUUAGUCUUCUAUAUCAAAGAUGAAAAAUCCAUAAACAAAAAAUGGGGAUCAUCUUACAUAUCUUCGUUGUUAGAACUUGGGAUUAAGAGCCCACUUAAUUCAGUAUCCAGCAGUAACAAAGAUAUAAUGCCAAAAAAUGAAUAGAACAAGCAGAUGAAGGGACUAUAGAGGAUAAAACAUGGUACAACACAUAUAAGGGGGGUGGAUCAGGUCAUAUAAAGCACAUAAUGUAAGCUGAUUAGAAGAAUAUAUUAAUAGAUGAACCUCUUUCAACAAUUAGGCAUUCAUGUGUUCCUCAGAAAAACAUAAAUGGAGACAACAUGGGUUCUUGAUACUAGCACAAACCCUCAUUCAUGAUUCAGCUUUCUUUUUAUCUUCCAAAAGCUUUAACUCCUGACGCCAUCCUUCCAGUUUCGUUAACUUUUCCAACUGCUCUGGCUUACUAUCUUUCUGCUGAGUUUUCUGCUGCUGCGCUUCUGCAAGUCGAAUCUGCAAAAGUGAACCAUCAAGUAAGUAAUAACAUACGGCAUAAUUGUCAAAACCAUGUUAAGAACAGCAACUUCAACUGUCUUGAACACUAAACUGUAGACUACCAAGUGGGCAAAAAACAUUGACCACUGCAGUAUAAGGGACCAACUGUAUUAAAAGGGAGUGAAAGCUAGCCAUGCAUUGUUAUGAACCCAGAAUUCCUUCGUCUUAUGCUCAAGACUUUAGAUUAUGCCAUCCGAUUCUAUUCAUAGCAAGAGCUUAAAACCUUAUGAUCUUAGAUUCUAACUACUUACUAAUGAUUAGUUGGAUAGUUUAUACUUAAACAAUAACAAGCACACCAAAGAUUCUCAAUCGAACAUUGAUACAUAAGAUUUGUUAAUGAUAGUUAGGCAAAAUUCUGGAAUCCAAAAGGUAAGGCUACAUAUUUUCUCACAGGCCAAAUACAUAAAGCUCAUAUUGAUUCCAGGCAAGGCUAAAUUGGUCAUAAUUUGUACCUUUUUUUUAAGUGCUCGGAUUUUUUUAUCGAUAUCUUGAACUGGAGCUCCUAGAUUUGAAUCCUCUAUUGAGUCAGAGGAAGGGGUAACUAAAGCAGAAUUAGAAGAAACACCAAGCUCGUUCAUCUGAGAUGUCAAUGACUGGACUGAUGUUGAUGCAUGACCUACACCUUGAGCAGGUGGCUCUUCUUCCUUAGUAUCCCCAGUUUCCGCUUCUUCUGAGGUUUUCUCCUUCUCAAGAGCAGCCUGCAUGAAGAGAUGAACCAAGAAUAAAAAAAUAAUAAAAAAUAAAUAAAAAUAAAAAAGCAGCCUGAAAUGCAAGUAAUAACUUUGCGAACCACCAAUGAACUAUCUGAUUAGCUGUUAUUUCCACUGAUGCCAAAACUGUUAGUGGCACACAUGGUUGUGCAAAAACACAACAGUACUGGAAAAUUAGUAAAGGGGUCAUUUUGUUCUCCUUUCUCUCUCGCUCGUUUAUCGUGCACAUUAUUAUCAUCCACACCUUUUAUUCUCUAAAAAGCAUUGUUCUUUCAGAUCCUUUUGGAAUCCAAAUCAAACCUCUUUUUGCUAAUUCAUUUAAAAUCUAACCCUGCUAGCAUUCAAUUGAAAACCAUCCAAAAGCUGACUUCAAUGACACCCCAAAAACCAAUGUCAAUAACAUCAGCUUCAGAUUCAGCUCUAAACCAUAUUUUAUUGACACCCACUUAUUAAACUUGCUAUUAAUCCUUAAUUACUGACGUACUUAAGUAAUUAAUAAAUCUUAGUAAGCACCAACUGUGAAGUUAAAGGUCCUCAAAAUAAGAAGUAUAGGUACAAAUGACCUACAUCCUUAUAGCUUCAUAAAAAUAAAAAAUAAAAAUAGGGGAAAAAGAGAGAAAAAUAUGUUAAUAGGAAUAGUUGUACUUGUUUGUAAAUUGGAAUUGUUAUUAACAGUCCCCUAAAAAUCAGUAUACUACUUUUUCCUUUUGUUUCAGUCUUAGAAACAAGUUUCUCAUAUCAAUUCCCAUAUAACCCUUCCUUUUCUAUUCAACUAAUAUGAGGGAGGGUAUUGAGGCAACUAAAUUAUGAAGUUUCAUAAAAUAACCAAAAAAUAAAAGGGGACUAUAGAUUGACUAUUGGGUAGUAUUAACGGUAUCACAAAGCAAAAAGGGAGGGCUUACCUAUUAAAAAUUUAGGAUAAAAAUACCAGAAACUUAGUUGAAGAAGUAAGAUUGUUUAUUUGAAAGCUUCUAUUUGGGAUAUUUUACAUGCCAUAAACAGUGAUUAUGUGAUCUUCAAUGCACAUCCAUUACAGAACUGUUAAAAAUACAUUAAAUUCUAAAGUACGCAACAUAAAACUAUUUACCAGUUUAAGUUAGUUACCCCGGAGAAAUAGACCCCUGAUCUCCAUUUCCUUUGAAAUGGAGUGAUACGUAGUUUACAGUUAAGGUACAAAGUUAAGGUCCUUCAAAAAGUGUUCAUAUACAAAAUGGCACAUUGUGGGUUCCCCAAACUGGCUAACAAGAGAAAUGACACAGACGUCAUAGCACGACUUUAAAAUUUAAACCUCCCUUAUACUCAAUAUCCACAGAAUGGUAUUCUAACUUAGGACAACCUUGUAUUCAGGAUUUCUAAGAGAUAUGCUGACUUGUAAGACUAAUCCAAGAGAGCUAAUCCAAUCUACACAGGAUAAUUUGCAAGCACAGGAUAAGGCCACAAGACAUACCUGCAGCCGCUUCUCCUUCUUUCUUUCAUUCCUUUUUACAGACUUGGUCUUGGGUUUCGCAUCGGCCACGACGGGAGUAGUAUCAUCAAAACCCGGUGGCCCUGCCUGUGAGGACAUCUCCUUUUUCCACUGCCAUUACACGAAACAAAAACAAACAUUCACUUCCCUCCCCAAAACAGAAGCCUGAAAUCAAGAGUGAAAGGGAAUGAAAUCAUACCAAGGCACCUUUGGAUUGGUAGAGGGCGACUUCUUCCUGGGGCACAUACCCGGCCCGAAUGCGGAUGGGUUUGCGGAGCGUGCCGUCGGGUCUCCGGGUUGGCGCUAGAAUCCUCUCCCCUUCUUUUAGGGAUUUGCCGAUCUCCUCCGUCAGUUUCAGCUCCUGAUCUCCUCCUCCUCCGCGAUGAGCCAUCUCGCAACCAAUCCCAAAUGAUCUUGUGCCGUACAGCGAGGUAGCUACUUCACUCAAUCUCUGUCUGCUUCUUUAAUCCUAGGAAUAGGAAGAGGAAGAGGGCUUUAGUUGCCACUAGGUUUCAAAAUCUUGUUAUUAUACCCUAACUCCCUACCCACGAAUAACUUGUCGGUAAUCCAAUUACCCGGAUCCGAUUUGUCAUUUGUCUCGGUCCAUUUUUUGUUUUCGGUUUAGUUUAAAACAAAGAAAAAUUAUGUUAAAACAUAUCUAAUAUCUUAAUGUUGUGUAGGAAAAUACACUUUACUCUCAUAUCUACUACUAUAAGCUAAACCAUAAAUAGAUUCAGCAAAUUGUGGAUUGCCUAAAUUACCAUUCAUAUACAAAAAAAAAAAAAAUCAUUUAAAAUGAUUAUUCUAUAAGUAAAAACAAAAGACAAACUGAGUGAUGACAAGUAAACUUCCACCAGCAUUGCACGGUGUAAGGCUAGUUGUAGUAUAAUUCCUAUUUUCUUAAUGGUACUUUGUAGGCCUCUUUAAAUAGAGACUCAUAUUUCUCUGAAUUCUCUCUUUCCAUUACGUUUUUCUUUCAGCACAUUAUCAACACGCUCUUGAACUGAUAGCAAAGCACUAUUAAGAAUAAUUUUUAUCCUAUAUUUUUAGAAAAGAACAAAAAAAAUAAACAUUUAUAUGUAAUUGUAGGGUCAAAUCAUAUUAAAUGUGUUGUUGCGAUUUUUGUGGUGGGCAAUUCAUUCAUCAUAGGGCUAAAAGACUCUUUUUUUAUAUACAAAGAAAAGCUUCUCGAAUAGCUCGAGUUAACAAUAUCAAAUAGCAGCGCUCUAAAAGCAGCUGUUGGGUAUCAAAUAGCUGGGCUAAAAGACAUUGUUGAGAACAAUUUUAGUCCUUAACAAUAUGACAUUUUACCCCUUAACAUGUUGGGUUGGAGAUGGAAAGGACAAAGAUAUGGAUAUAUGGCCUUUUAGCCUUACGAGUUGGAGAAGGUCUUAGAGAGCGUCUCCCAUGUACGUGUUUAGUAGUUCAAUCACUCGUAUUUUAAUUCAAGCUCAAAUUUUGAGCAUAAAACAUGUUGUCCAGUUUCAUUUCCACUUUUGUAUUCGAGUUACUUGAAUAGUUUGUCCUUGAAAACAUUUUACAACAAAUAUCCCAAAUCCAUAGCUCUUCCAAGUUACUAACUGAAUGGUUUGUUUUUGGGGCAAGAGCAUCUCUAGCAGAGUUGCUAAAUUUGAAUUUUAACCAAAUUUAUGCAUUUUUGUAGCAAAAAUUUAUUUUAACUAUUGCUAAGCUAGAUUGAUAAAUUUAGCAAUUGGGUUUGAAUUGUUAAAACAAAAACUAAUUUUUUUUUUUCCAUUUUGUCCACUUGUUAAUUCAUGAUUAGUCCAAAUUUAUCAGUUAACUCCAAAUAACAAUUUAUUGCUGAAACACCAUUGCUAUUUCGAUUGUUAAAUUUCCUAACUAUUGUUAAAUCUAACAACAAAUUAACCUAGACUACCAGAAAUGCUCUUGCAUCUCUAGUAGUGAGAUUCAUAAAUUGAUAUAUUUAACAAGAAUUUUAAAAUUUAGAUAUCAAUUUAACAAUGUUGCUCCAUCAAUAAUUGUUAUUUAUUAUGUUUUAACAAAUUGUAAAGUGACACGUGAGUUCUGGAGAGAGAAGAUUUAGUUAUUGCUUUAGAGCAAGUCCACCUUCUAGCUAGGUCUUCGUUGGGAAGGCUUGUGUCAUGGGUGAGACUUGGGUUGCCACCUGGCAGUGUUUUUGGGCUGCAGUUUCCAUCCACUAUUUAUAUUUCUAAGUCGCAACGUGGCAGUGACUGUUUAUUAAAUUUUAUAUUAGGUAUUUUGAAUGUGAAUAAUGAUUUUAUAUAUUAAUAAAAUUAUGAUUAAAUAAAGAAAAUGACAUAUUGAAAUUAAAAUAUUUAUUUCAUGACUUAAAUUGUCGCCAAGUCAUCUUCUUCUUGCAACUUGCGAUCAUUUCCCACAAAUUAUCGAUUGCGAUCAAAGAAAGAGAGGAAUUGUGAGAUGGUAGAGAUAUGAAAAAUGUUUUCUUUGGAACUAGGAAUUUUUUGUUGUGUGAGAUGUAAAUUAAAUGGUGAUAUAUAUAAGAAUUUUUAUUAUUUUUUUAAGUAGUUAACUCAGUUACUGUUGGGAUUAUUUUUAUAAAAAAUUCAUUUUGAACCGUUGGAAACACAACGGUAACUUCAUUGUAUAAUUGAAUGUUGUUGAUCUGCUUGUUUAAUCACAACCAACGAUCCACAUCAAAUGAUCGUUGGAUUUGAAAUGAAAAGCAACGAGCCCAGCUACUGAUGCGUGACCCCUGCUUCUGAAUUCAAACUGCGUCGCAACAAAAACACGGCACGCGCUUGGCUUAUUCCCGCUCGUAGUAGCCUUUACUCGCUAGGCUCUCGCGUCGUCCCACCUCACUUGCACGCGCUUCACGUGUUCAGCGUCAGCUGGGCCACACAAAACGGGCUGAGCCGGGUCUUCAAAAAUGGAGGCCUGGGUCAUAGGUCUGACCUAGGUGAAGACCUAAUGAAGGCCUGGGUUAAAAAAAGUUUGUGGGUGGACUUUGUUUUUUUUUUGUUGGGUCUUCAUUUGAGGUGGCUGAAGGCCUGAGUCAGGUUUUUUGAGCAAAGGUGGAUUUGCUCUUAGUUAUGCAUGCAUGGUCGACAAAUUAAUUAAUUUCAUCUAACAAUUAUCAAAUUUAGCAACGGUACGUAACCCCCAAAAAGUUACUAACCAGUAACCAUUGCUCUUUGCAUCACGUGGUCAUCACGUGUACGUUAAGGAAGAAGUGGUCUUGACGCUUGAGCAACGAAAAGGAAGAAGUAGACGAUAACAGAUCAACCAGGCCUUGCACUCUCUCCUCUACUUCAAUUUCAAUUUUCAAUUUUGAUUUCAAUUUGCGCCCUCCAGACGAAUCAGCUUAUCUGGGCUUGCAGCGCCCUUGACAAGCCUCAGCUCAGGAUCGCCGUAGAGCUUUGAGUCUCGGGUAAGAAGAUUUGAUCACGAUAAUACUCAUUCAAAUUCAAUACCAUUUGUGUUGAUAGCAAAGUUUCACUCUUUAAAUUAUACCCAGAACCUUCAUAUGGAUUUCAAUAGCAUUCUUACUUGUACCAUCUGUUCAAUUCCAUGUCUCACUGUUUAUGCUCUUUAUCUCGUGUGGGUUAGACAAAAAUGGACAAGAGCUCGAAAAAGAAGGUUAAAAUUAGCAAUCAAGAGGAGAAUGGUGAAUCUGAUGAUGCUUGGUGGUGGCUGGUGCACAAGGGAAUCACAGCUUCCUUCCUGUGCAUUGCAUUGUUUUCUCUUUUGGUUCGAGUGGCAGUGUCACUCCAUCCUUACUCUGGUGCUGCAACUCCUCCCAAGUUCGGGGACUUCGAAGCGCAGCGGCAUUGGAUGGAAAUCACCCUCAAUCUGCCAGUUAAGGAAUGGUACCGUAACACUACACUCAAUGAUCUCAGCUACUGGGGUUUGGACUACCCUCCUCUCACUGCUUAUCAGAGUUAUGUCCAUGGUCUGUUUGUCAGAUUCUUUAGUCCUGAAUCAGUUGCUCUUACCACUUCCCGUGGCCAUGAGUCCUAUUUGGGGUUUGUACCUUGACCCAUCUUCACCAAUUUAUUUUUGAAUGAGGGAAUUUUGUUUGUAACUGUAAGCAUUGAGUUUCCCUUCAUUCUAAAUGGUCUUUCUCGCAGGAAGCUUCUUAUGAGGUGGACAGUGUUAUCGUCUGAUGCCUUGGUGUUCUUUCCUGCUGUGUUUUACUUUAUUGUUGUUUACUAUAGUGGCCGUAAGCAAAGUGGUAGUAUGGGUGGCAUAGCAUGGCACAUUGCAAUUAUUUUGCUCAAUCCAUGCCUGAUCUUAAUUGACCAUGGUCAUUUCCAGGUUAAAAUUAAGUUAUCUGUAGCAUGCUCCGUGUUUCUAUCUCUCUCUCUCUCNNNNNNNNNNNNNNNNNNNNCGUUCGUUCUUCUCUCUCUCUCUCUCUCUCUCUCUCUCUCUCUCUCUCUCUCUCUCUCUCUAGCUCUCUCUCUGUAUACAAUAUUCUGAACUCUUGAAUCUUAUUUCUUCGUGAUUUUUGUCAGUACAAUUGCAUCAGCUUGGGUCUGACUGUGGGAGCUAUUUCCGCUAUUCUAUCUGACAAAGAUCUUCUAGCCUGUGUCCUAUACAGCCUUGCUCUCAACCACAAACAGGUAUUUUUCUGAUACAUUUUGGGCCAGAUCCUGAUAGCUUAAGUUUCCUUACCUUAUCUAUUUCUGAAAUUGUUCUGGUUCAUUGUUACUUUUCCUCUGAGAGAAAGGAAACAUUGGCGUAAAUAGGGUGCAAAUAAGUAAAUUAAUAAGACAAAAGCGAUGGGAAUGUUAAACAAAUCAAGGUUAAUAAAAGGUCAGGAGACAGGAAAGGUGACUGAUGUUGCAAAACCAAAGAAAGUGAUACUCGUAACCGAUUAGUAAAUAGAUAUGUAUGUAGCCAAGAGUCAGUUUGAGCUUUUCUGGGUAAGACGGAGAUCUGUUGUCUCCUUUCUUAUUCACUUUGGUUGUGGAUUGUUUAAGUAGAAUGGUGGAUAUUUGGUAGAAGGUCUGAUAUGGGGAGAGAAGAUGUAGAAAUAUGUCACUAUUAAUUUGCAAACAAUACAAUAUUCUUUCUCUCCAAGGGAACCAGAACUUGGCUACUCUUUUUAGGGUAAUUGAAUCAUUUCGUUUUUUUUUUUUUUUUUUUAAUUCUUAUUAUUUGGGUCAAAAAUGAAUAGGGAAGAGUGCUCAGUAGCUGGGAUUAAGACUCAAGUAGGAAGAGUUGGGGAGUGGGCGAAAAUUAUGAGACGUGGAGUAGGAAUUUGCACCUGCCUGUCAGAGGGAACUUUGGGCGGUGGAGUUCCGGUUGUGGUGAAAGUAGAGAGAAGGUUAGAAGGGUGGAAAAAAGCUCUUUUGGGUAGCGGGAUCAGAGUAAGUAGCAGUUUACCAAUUUCUUAUGCCUACCUGUUUCAAAUCCCUGGAAUGUGGAAUAGAAGAUUGAGAGAGUGAAAAUGGACUUUUUAUGAGAUAAUGUAGUAGAUUGAGAAUGAUGACAUUCGAUUCCAGGAGGAAAUAUUUUUACUGUUUCUAUGCAGUUAUUAGAAGUACAUAUUGACUAAAAUAAAAUGACUGAGAAAUCGUAGCACCAAUAUUCGAAAUUAUCAGUGUGUACUGUUAGAUCCUUCUAGUUCAGAUAGGAGAAAGUGAAAGUUGUCUUUGGGAAAAUCUCCUAUCUAAGGCAUUCUCACAAUCCACUGCCUCUGUAUUCUGGAAUGCUAAGGUACCUCCUAAGGUAUCAGUGCUAGCUUGAUAUAUUGUUCAUGGCAAGAUUUAUAUCUGUGAUAUGGUGAUGGGAGAGGCCUCUUUAAUUUUUCUCCUUACCGGUGUUUGAUGUGUAAAUCUGGAGACGAGAGUGGGAUUCACAUAUUUUUACAUUGUUCAAUUGCUUUUGCACUUUAGAAUAGGCUGUUUCAAGAAGCUAUGUUGAGCUGGGCCAUUGCAGCUAACUAUAUGGCUCUAUUGAAGAAAUGAGAAGGGUCAGCAGGACACAUGAUUAAUACUGCAAAACAAAAGGAAGUGGUACUUGUUACCAAUAAGGAAAUAGAACAUGUAUAUAUCCAAGGGUCAGAUUUGAGUCUUCCCUGGGUCAGAUAGGGAGAUCUCUUGUGUCCUUUCUGAUUCAAUUUGGUUGUUGAUUGUCCAAGUAAAAUGGUGAAUUAUCAUAGAAGGUCUAAUGUGGAGAGGAGAUGUAGAAAUAUGUCACUAUCAAUCUGCAGACAAUACAAUAUUCUUUCUUUAACAUGAAAAUGAUUAACUUGCCAAUAGGAAGAGGCCAUUGAAACAGUUGAAUAAGCACAUUGCAACAAAUAUCUUUCCCUUGAAAAACAAGCUUUCUUCUAGCAAACCACACAUUGUAGCAAACUAAAAGGAUUUUAGCAAUUAUAGAAACAUCGUGCUUGUGCAAAGUUCUUACAUUAUCCUUCCAAAGCCACCCAGCCAUUAUUGGAAAUUCGCCAAUGAAAUAUAUGUGCCUGCUGCCUGUAAGAGGGAAUUCUAGGGCGGCGAGUUUCUGGGAUCCAGCAGUGGAGAAAGAAUCUUUUAGAUAGCAGGGGGCAGAUUACUUUGAUUUAACUGCUGUGGAGCAGUUUACCAAUAUAUUAUCUCUAUCUGUUUUAAAUCCCUGCAUUGUGGCAAAGAAGACUGAUAGACUGAAAAUAGACUUCUUAUGGGCGGGGAUGGACUGGGAAUAAAGAUCAUGUAGUAAAUUGGGAAUGGUGACUCAAGUAAUAGGUGGUCAGGGGUGGGGAUUUGGUGAAAAUAAAUGACCGCUCUACUUGUGAAAUAGAGUCUUUUAGAUAGCAGGAGGAAAUAUUCAAAUUCACUGCGCUAUGCAGUCAUUAGAAGUAGAUAUGUUAGAAGUAAAUAUGGACUAAAAUUAAAUGUCUGGGAAAUGGUAGCACUAAUAUUGAUAUUAUCAGAGUACUGCUGGUUCCAUCUAAGAGCACAGAUAGGAGAAGGUGAAUGUUAGAGUCUUUGGAAAAUUUUCUUUCUUAGCGGGAAUCUCACAAUUUACUCCCUUUUCUGUAAUCUGGAAUGCCAAGGUACCUCCUAAGGUACCGGAGCUAGCUUGAAGCAUUGUUCAUGGCAAGAUUAAUACAUGUGAGAUGGUGCAGAGGAGAGGCCAUCUUUAGUUUGUCUCCUUACUGAUGUCAGAUGUGUAAAGCUGGAAAGCUGGAGCUGAGAGUGAGAUUCACCAUAUUUUACGUUGUUCAAUUGCUUUAGCGCUUCUGAAGAGGCUGUUUCAAGAAGCUAUGUUGGUCAUCGCAGCCAACUGUAUGGCUCUAUUGAGUGAAAAUCAAUAUUUAUGUGGGAGAAGAAGAAAGAACUGUAUCUGGAAGAUGUGUUAUGAUGGUUGUCUAUUGGGGAUAUUUGGGUGGAAAGAAACAAUAGGAUUUUGGCAGAUGGGAGAGAGUAUGGCUUGCUCAUGUGUUCGAUUUCUUAGCAUCCAUAUGUGUAUGGGCUUUGGAAUUCAAAUUCACCAUUUUUCUGCUAAUUUCUAAGUUGGAGUGCUGUUUCACUUUAUGUUUUCUUUAUUUUGAAUAGUCUCUGUCGGCUUUGUUUCUGCUCCCAGCUGAACUCUCUGUUUAAUUCUUACCCACUGCUGUGUAUGUUCUUUAUCUAUUUAAUAAAAUUUUGUUUACUAUAAAAUAAUAAGCAUGUUCAUCUGGUUGUAUAGGAUGUAUUUACGGCUUUAUACUGCUUUCACUAAGUUAUGUUGUUGCUUGAGUACGUCUUAGAAGUGCAGUCAAUCCAGAAUGUCCUGACUAAUUUUAUAGAAAAUGGUUGGAGGGAUUUCGGCUUAGUGUACUGAGGAAAUGUUGGUGUGAUAUUAUCUCCAUAGAGCCAACUCGAAUGAGAUUUAUAGGAGGCUAGUGAGCUUUUUGAUAAUCCGGUUAAAUGUUCUCUGAUCUUUGUUAUUCACCUGGAAAUUCUCUCUGCUGGGUAAUGUUUACUUGAAUGUGAUAUGCUGUUUUGCAGAUGAGUGCAUACUUUGCUCCUGCAUUUUUUAGCCAUCUUCUGGGUAAAUGUAUAAGGCGCCGGUAUCCACUUCUUGAAGUCUUUAAACUUGGCCUUGUGGUCUCAGUUACGUUUCUUGUGGUCUGGUGGCCAUAUGUUCACUCAAUGGAGGCAUUCUUUGGGGUAAGCACAAGUACACAGUUAAUUUCUUUGUGUAUGAGCUUUUACAAUGACUAAACUCAUGCAUCUCUGUGGUUCUAAGAUCAGGCUAUUUGAUGCAAGAUAAAUUCUACCCUUGCCCUUAACUGAUGAGCAAACCAAAAGUAUACACUGAUUCAAUCCAGCUUAAUUCUUUGAUGAAUCCCUUUAGGAAAACACCUAUUGAUGCUUUUUUUUUUUGUCUUUUUUUUUAUCACAAAAAUGGGACACCCAUAUAGUUGGGAUUCAUAUGUUGUUGGCUUGUUGCACAGUGGGCUGGAUAUUUAUUUAGGUUAUGUCUGUUGUUGCAAAAAUGCGCUGGAUUCACAAAGUUCUGUGCAGCACAUAUCUGGUAUUUCAACCUCAAGCAUUGAGACGCUUGAGACUUGGAUUUGUUAAGCUGCCACUAUCUCCCAAUUAUUUUAUUAGUGACAUUCCCCUGCACAAAACAAACAGCAUGCACAACUUUGAUGUCAGAAAUGGAGCUGUAAAUAUAAAUUAAAUGUCGAUUUAUUUGUCUGAGUUUUCUUUUCGUAUUUCGGCACAGAAUGUAUAAAAAGAUAUACAGGAGUUACGAAAUACUAUAGUUAUCUUGUUUAAUAAUUUAAAAAGGGAUAUUUCUUGUUUUUGUUUACACACAUAGAAAAAAGAGAUGAUUUAACUUGAGCUUGGUUAACCUUAUAGGUUCUCUCUCGUCUUGCUCCUUUUGAGAGAGGGAUAUAUGAGGACUAUGUGGCUAACUUUUGGUGCACCACCUCUGUUCUUGUAAAAUGGAAGAGAUUGUUUUCAACACCUCAAUUGAAGGUUCUCAGCCUUGGUGCAACUAUUUCUACUUUUCUGCCUUCAAUGAUUAAGCAGAUAUGGGAUCCAAGUAAAAAAGGUUUCCUGUAUGGGUUGCUGAAUAGUGCUUUAUCAUUUUAUCUGUUCUCUUUCCAAGGUAAGUAGAUUUUAUCCCUUUUCAAGUCCUGUUUAUUAUCCUUCAUAGUACACACUAGUAGAGCCUAGCAUUUAUGUUCGGUAUUCUGAAUUCUCAGUGCACGAGAAGUCUAUUUUGCUGCCUCUCCUACCAGCAAGUCUUUUGGCAAGUGAAGAACCUUUUCUAUAUACCUGGAUGACUCUUUAUGCCUUAUUCUCGAUGUUCCCUCUUCUACAUCGUGACAAGCUGGUUUUACCAUAUCUGGCUAUAUCUACUCUAUUCAUACUUUUAAGCGUGGCACCUAAUAGAAGACAAGACACAAGGGACACAAAUGCUUUCAGAUCGUUUGUGACAAUAUUCUCUCUUUUGUGCUCACUCAUUAUUCAUGUUGUUUAUUUAAGCAUGAAUCCCCCACAAAGAUAUCCCUUCCUAUUUGAAGCUUUAAUUAUGCUUCUUUGCUUUUCCCAGUUCACAUUCCUAGCUAUGUAUACUAAUGCAAAACAAUGGAUGUUGCUGAAACACUCCAACUAUAAAGAAAAGAAGCUCCUUUGAGCCAUGUAUUUGGCAUAACACAUUUAGGAUUUGGUAUACAAAGAUACGACUCUCUGUUUGAAGCUUUGAUUGUGCUUCUUUGAUUCUCUCAUUUCACGAUCCUAGUUAUGUGUACUAAUUCGACACUAUAGAUGUUGCUUUAACACUGCAACUUUUCAUACAUGCUGGAUCUGAUUGAAAAGUUGUACUGAGAUUUUGAAUUUGACCAGUUUAUUGGCAUACGAAUCUGGGAUUUCAUUGUAUUACUACCAGAUUUGUUAAGCUGUGAAAAGGUUGAGUUGUCUCCAAUUUUGGAUCGUCUGUUUUGUUGAAUCUCUCUCUCAAUUCGAAUUGAUCCAAGAAACUCACUUGAUCCAAUUUUUUUUUCUUCCACUGUACGUGUUUCAAUAUGAACAAGAUUUCCAUACGGACGCUAUGCAUGUGGAGGUCGACCCGGUUGCAUUACAUUUGGAGCACCCAUUGGUUUUGUUCCGAGAACAUACUUAUUUUGGCAAUUAAAGCACCGGAUCCAGGAAGAUUCACAAAACACCUCGAACGUACAUGGUACUGUUUUCUUUGAUUAGUUUAUAUAUCUUUAACUACACAUCCAUCAAUUUCAAUUCAUCAAAAUUGUUUUUUUAUGUUUUAUCUUAAAGCGCGGACAUCUUCUACGCUUCUCGAUUUGUUAAGAAGCGCAGUUAUCAUGGUGCUAACUAGGUAGGAAAACAAUAAGCUGCAGGAUAGAGCCAUCGCAAAUUCAUUCAAAAUAGCAAAUAGGCUGAAAGCUUUACGUCCUGCAAAAAUUGCAUGACCAUUCUUAUCAGAUCCUCCAUCACUGUGAAACCCAUGGGUACAAAAAUACAUACCACAUAAGAGCAUGUGGCAAUGAACGUAGAAACAAUCAUAAACAAGCUCAAUGCUUCUUUAUCAACCUUUUUCUCUUUAAUGUUGACUCCACCUUUGAUCUGUGUUAGACAAUUUAUGAUUGUGUCUUUUUUUAAAUAACUCACACACCAUACAUAUGUCAACAAGUUGUUAGUUAAUUCUUUAACCAAUCUGUAGGUCACGGCUCACCGACACUCUGUUAUGCAUUUCCCUAGGUCUAUGUUUAAACACAAUAAGUUGCAUGAUUGACUAUUCUAGAGUGAUCAAUGUUGGUCAUACUUGCCAAUGAUUACAAAGUUUCGAACAUUAUUGAUGUUGGUUUUUGAUCCAAGAAAUGGGAUUGUAGAGUUUACGGAAGGUCUUUAUCUAACUUGGUGCACUAAAGAGUUAAAAUAUGUACCAGUUCAAGAUUUCCUCUCUUUCAUAACAGGCUUGGUCUUCUCAUUCUCUUCGUAACAUGUUUCACCUUCUCAUUUUUUAUCUUAACACUAUAUAUUGGGGUUUGCCUCAGUCUUCUUAAGAAAUCUUAGAGGACACGUCACAAAAUUCGAGUUAGAAAGUACAUCCACAAUGUAGUCACUUUUUCCUUUUGUAUAGGUGACACCUAAAAAAUAGAUAAAUAAAAGCUCUAAAUGUACAGAAAAUAAAUCAGAUGAACACAGUGAAAAACAACAACACGAUAACACACAUUUAUAAAAACAACACAACAUAGUAGCUUACAAAUAACUAUAGAUUAUAAUAAUACAUUAAUUAUGUUAUAGAUUACAACAACUAGAAAAAAAAAAAAGUUAGAGCCUUCCAUUUUGUCAUUCAUUUAGCAACCAACAACAUGAAACAAACGACAUAAAAAAAGAAAGCAAAACUUCAAUAAAUUCCAUUUAUUACUUCUUUCUCUUUUUUUUAGACCUCCUGACGCCUUCCAUCUUUAGCAAGUGUAGCUUUGAAAGGGCUACUUUAGUCUGCCUCCUCAUCUGCAUCUUAGUCGGCGGCUUUGGAGGGGCUACUUUAUUAACACAACUAUCAGCUUUGUCGGCAUUACAAUGAUUAGAAGUCAAAAAUUGCAUCAUAAACAACAUUUGGUCUAGCUUCCCCGACACCUCAAAUUUGUAAUCCGCAAAGCUCUGUUCCAGUCCAGCCACUUUGCCAACCAAUUCAUCAAACUUGUUAUGGGGCACCUGUUGUUGGCUUCACGUCCCUGCAUAUAACAGGGCACCUGUUAUGGGGCACCUGUUGUUGGCUUUGACACAACAACACUCUCUAUGUGCAACCCACCCUUCGUGUAUACCCAUCCGGGUAGCUUCUUUGCUUCAGUGUCCUCCCAACUUUGAACCGGGUACAAUGAUUUGUCCACGAUGGUUGGGCCCUUGACACAAUCGAAGUACACAAGCUGGAGAAAGAGGAGGUUUUCGUUGCAGUUUGACUGAUGAUCCUUGAUCUCCUUAAUUCCAUGCAUCAACCACUUGAAAGAGAAAGCAACCUACUUCAUGGAUGAGAUGCGGCUAGUGUCCUCUAGGGGCAACAACCACUUCUUCGGAAUGGAGAGCGAGGCAGUUGGCAUGAGGAUGGUGAUCAAUGUGAACAAAAGAAAGAGCCGCUUGAAUUUGUCACCCGUUAUUGUUCGAGGCUCAUUCAAAUAUGUCUCCACCUCUUUCAGAUAGAUCUUCCCAUCAUCUCUAGAGAACUCCCUUACUAUAUCGACAAAUUCAAAGUGAUCUUUGUACGAACCUACCUCACUGACCUCAUCCUUACCACUUUGCAACCCCAUCACUUGAGCAACACUACCGCAGAAAUUUCAACCUCCUUCCCAUGCAGCUUAGUAAUAAGUUUUUCGGGAUCUACCAAGUCCACAAGGUUCACAAGAGUGCACACCAUUAAUUUUUGCAUUAUUUUCCCAACAAGUUUUAUCAAAACCCUAAAACCAUUCUUUUAACAUGUUGCCUUCUUCUCAACACUAAACAUAGCAACUAAGGCCUUGAAGCAUUCUGUAGAGCAUCGACUCUCAAUUGUUGAAAAAUGCUGAGAUUUUGCAGAAAAAUAUGAGGUCUGUGAUGGCUCUGAUGGUUUUCAUGCGUAGUGCUCUUUUUCCUCAUCUGGAAGCAACUUCCAUUCUUGUGAAGCCUCGAAGAGGAACUGAAACAAAAUCAAUUAUCUCCCUUCAUACAAGCAUGAAAAUGCAAAAUACAUCUAGGAACCCACACAUCUAAUCACUAACUAAGCAUCAAAUUGACAAUCAAUGAAGAAAUACUCACCAUAAAAACACAACUUCAUUUAAGCACUGCAUUUAAGCAAAAAUGCAGUCAAUAACCAUAAAAACACAACUUCAUUCAUUUGACACUCGAAAUAACACAAUUGAACUAAUUAACAGAAUCGAAACAGUAAACCAAGUAUACUACAUUUAAUUAAAAAAGACCCCCCAUUUGAUGGAGUUUUUCUUCACCUAGAGCUUAAUUCAGGACUUGAUUUUUCUUGCCUUUGAGGACUUUGUGGACUUAAUCCUCUCAUCAGCUAUAGAUUUCUCCAGUACAUAUUUAUCAACCACCACCACUUUCAUUGAGGAGUCACCCGUUUCGGGUUUCGACGCCUCAGCUGCAGCGUCUCUCACGAUAUCCACCACAGAGGUUGGUGUAGUGGUUUUAGGCUUCGACUUCGACCCCCCUAGCCGCAGUGUCCAAUUUAUGAUUCUUCUUCUCUUCUUGUAAUCUCGAUUCCGCCAAUCGCACUCGGGAUACAUUAGAGACAGUGGUGGAGCUAGUGGUUGGGGAUAUGCCCAACAAUCGGGAACUUUUUCUCGGAUCUCCGUCGCCGUCCAAGUACAGUAUGGAAUUUGCCCUAUUCUUGUGAGGGAUAAGUGGGGGCUUUCUGCUUCUUUAGCCGAGGGACUUGUUGCUGCCUUCGUCGGGAGCUUUUUUGCUGAGACAUUUGCCGGUGGCUUCGUCAGGACGUUCUUUUGGGAUAGUGCCAUCUAAGGUUUCAAAAUUUUCCCAAUUGCAUUUUGAAAGUAGGAAUUUUAGGGUUCAAAUUCUGGGUUUUGGUAAAGAAAGAAGGUUCAAAAGAUGAUGAGAAUGGAUUUGCCAAAAGGAUGAAGAGAUGAUAUUUGGUGUGAGUGGAUGAAGAGAUAGAUUUGUAGUAGAAGUGUGGUAUGAGAUAGAUCUGUAUAAUUUUCGGAUAGAUAGGGAGUUAGAAUGAAGUGGUUUGUAGUUGACUGUAGGAAUGAAGUGAUUGAGAAAAAAGAAAGGAAUAAUAGAGAGAUAUAUAGAGUUAAUAGAGAGUUAACCGUGUUAAUUAGAGUUGGCCCCAGCUGCUGCAUAUUUGGGUCGGUUCCAAGACGGACGAUCCGUUUUAAAUAAGGCGGUUUGGAUCGGAUUAUGAUUAUUAAAAAUGUAAUUUUUUUGGACCCGAUCCGUUUAGGGAAAUUCGGGUUCAGAUUGGAUCCUGUUUAAAAAAAGUAAAAAAAAAAAAGACAAAAACUCAAAUAACCAUUUAAUUGAACUAGUUUUUUUUUUAUAGACCGUUAGAUUAUUUGGGUAAAAAAAAAGCUCUGAGGUUCUGAAAAAAGAAAAGCCUGAAGCCGAUUAUUUUAUACUCUUAUUAAAUAAAAUUUGAAGAUAAUUGCGUUAAUCAUUUGAAAAGAAAAUAGAAAAAUGAAAAAACAGUAGAGGGUCCGUAAAAGAGGGGCCAAUACGUCCCGUAAAAUCCACGUCAACUCAGACCGACAGUAGCAGUGAGGUCAGUGACAGUGCCAUUGCUUCUUCCUCACUCUCCCCCCAAGUCCCACCCACCCCUCUCUUCCUCUCUCAAUAAACCCAAAUCAAUCCCUCCAAAGCUACUCCAUCAGUUAUGGAUUUCACAUUUCAGAAAAGUAGCACAAGAAUCACCACCACCCACAUUGCCCUCCUCCUCCUCUUGACAUCAUUCUUCAAUUCCAAUCCGGCCAACGCCUCCAUCCAUAUCUACCACAAAGACGUCUUCCGCGAAGUUGGCAACGCCUUCCUCCUCUCCGGCGGCAGCGAAGGAAUCGCCGCCUCUCCCUCCUCCCGCUCUUAUAUCCGGUACUCUUCUCCCUCUCUUAUUUGCACCUCAUUGCUAGAUCCGUAGAGCUUUGUUUGCUUCAUUUGAGAAUUUUAGGGAUUUAGCUUUCUUCAUUUCAAUCGCAUUUGAUAAUAUCACGAAUGAAAAUCUUAUGUCACUGCUGCUGUUUGUUAUCCUGAUAUCAUGUUUGCGGAACAGAUUUGAGAAUAUCACCUUCUGGAGGAAUGAGGCUGCAGCUGACAGGAAGCGUAGCAAUGGGCUGAUACAGGUCAUCAUUUUCGAAGCUGCGGAUCGGAAUAAUAUCGGCGGUUCUGCUUAUGGAGGACAGAGAUCUAUAUGUUGCACCCCUGAUCUUGCAAAGAUGGAAGGUUGUAAGCAAGGGGAGGUCAUUAGGAGACCUUCUGCCGCUGAUGCUAAUUGGCCUGUUGUGUUGAAUGUCAAGUUCAGAGGGAAGAGUCUGUCUAAAGAGAUGGAUUACAAAGAGAUUUCGAUCACGAAAACGGGGAUGUAUAACUUGUUUUUUGUGGCAUGUGAUCCGAAACUGAAGGAAUUGGUAAUGAGUGGGAAGACGGUGUGGAGAAGUCCUGAUGGUUAUCUACCUGGUCGAAUGGCUCCACUGAUGAAGUUUUUCGUGUUCAUGGCACUUGCUUAUGUGCUGAUUGGUGUAAUUUGGCUUAUUCAGUAUGUGAGGUUCUGGGAUGAUAUUCUGCAACUUCAGCAUUGCAUCACGGCUGUAAUUGCUCUUGGAUUGUUUGAGAUGAUUCUUUGGUAUGCUGACUAUGUCAAUUUUAAUAAUACAGGGAUGAGGCCAGUUUUUCUUACGACAUUGGUUGUGACGGUUGGAGCUGUGAGAAAAACUGUUUCCCGUCUCCUUAUCCUCACUGUUUCUAUGGGCUAUGGUGUAGUACGGCCUACUCUUGGGGGUCUUACCUCCAAGGUGCUUUUGCUUGGAGUAACAUUUUUUCUGGCCACAGAGUUGCUUAAUAUUACCGAGUAUGUUGGGACAAUUAAUGAUGUAUCAGGAAGAGCGAGAUUAUUUCUUGUUCUUCCUGAUGCUUUCUUGGAUGCAUUUUUAAUCUUGUGGAUUUUCACUUCUCUCUCAAAAACACUAGAACAGCUACAGGUACAUCAUUUUUAUCAAACUGUACAUUUUGUUUUUGUAUUUAAUUCACUUUCUGUUUUCUUUGUUCUUCAAGUGCUAAAACCUACAUUCAUUUCAGACAAAGAGAAGCUCUGUCAAGUUGGAUAUGUAUAGGAAGUUCUCAAAUGCAUUAGCAGUGACAGUCAUUGCCUCACUCGCAUGGAUUGCUUAUGAGGUAUUGUUUGGGGGGCUAUAUAUAUAUUUAUUUAUGAUGAUGAUGAUUUAUUAACUUAAUGGAUUCCAUUCUUUUACUGAGGAUUUGAAUAUCUUAAAAAUGAUAUGUGAAUAUUUAUCAGUUUGUUCAGUAAAGAUACUAUUUAUUAUUUUAAGACUUCUGUGCUCUUUCAUUUCAUACGCACGCAUAAAGAAAUAUUUAUGUUCAUUAUCUGAUACUAUUUCCUACAUUAAUGUACAUAUGCUGACUAUAGAAGCCUCAUAAGAAAGUUUAUGGGACAGCAUAUUGGCUCACUAAUGAUCCUUAAUUUACCUAUUGUUGAUACUGUAAUUCCUUUUGACAGUAUUUUAAAAUGGAUCUAAACACUAGCAUCCAUCUAAUGGUUCCAAUCUUGCUUAAUCGCGUUUAACCACUAAGAGGAAACCUGCUUGUUUGAUGCCUAUUGUUGGUCUCAUUUGCCUUUACCUAAUUCUUUUUUGUUUAAAUUGUAAUUCUCUUUAUCUGCCUAUAGUACUUUGUUUCAUCCUUUCCAUACUUGAUUUCUUCGAGCUUUGAACAAUACCAUUUAACAUUGUUGCACGUGUAGGUGUACUUCAAAGCAACAGAUCCCUUCAACGAGAAGUGGCAUAGUGCUUGGAUCAUCACUGCUUUCUGGGAUAUUCUUGCAUUUGCAUUGCUGUGCGUUAUCUGCUAUCUUUGGGCACCAUCUCAGAACUCUCAGCGGUGCGUAAUAAUCCUUAAUUCCUGUGCAAUCAAUAAGAUGCUUGUAUUUCUCUGCUCUUACCUUUUGUUCCAUUUUAUAAGAGGAAAAGUUUCCUGAACCUCUGGUUGGCCAGUGAACGCAUAAUGCGACAUGUUACUGGGAAGUGUACGUUGCAGUUUAGAAUCUAAUCUAUGGACAAGAGUGGUAUUGAGUUGGUGCACACUUCAUAGAGAGAUAGGAAUGUCGCAUUGAGUGGGUUUUGUGAAGCACUAGAGGGGGUUGGGAUGAGGUAUUUUAGAUUGAGUAAUUAGAGUGAGAAACAGACUUUUAGAAGGAUUUUUGUUCCGGUAAUAUGCCCUUUCAAAGAUUCUUCUCUAGUGGUAUAUAACUUGGUUUUUUCAGAAGGCUAGAGUUCAUGUUGGAAUAUUUCUUUUAAAAAAUCCAUAAUUUGAUAGUCAACGUUUUUCAGUCCCACAAAAAUCAAAUGGUAUUUCUUGGCUUAAUACUUUGCAAAGUGUUAUUUCGUGGAUUACAUUCGGUAUAUGUUAAAUUUGGCUGUGUAAUGCAUUUGGUGGAUCAUUAACAAAAGCCUUCAUGUUAUAAAAUUAGCAAGUUAACUUUGAUGAUGCUGAGCUAAUUUGUUCUGCUGAUUAUACAUAGGUAUGCAUACUCAGAGAAGCUAGGAGAAGAUUCUGAUGAUGAAGAAUCUCAGUCUCUAACUGCGGGCAAGCCAGAGGGUGAUAUCAGUUUAGUCAAUCAAGAAGUGAAGGAUGUUGGAAGCACGGGAGAUUCUGAUGAAGAGGACACAGAAGAAGAUAAGAGGGAAUGAUCUUUCAAUGGCAUUACUCUUCCAUUGCUCACAACCUUACUCUAUAUACAAGCCCAUGGAGAAUGUAGUUGAAUGUCUACCCCUCGGUUAACUUCUAUGUGCUAAGCAAUGACCCUUUGUCCCACUUAACGGCUUCCAAAGAGGUGUUGUAAAAUUUUUGCUACUUCCUACUAGAAUCAAAAGGCUGCCUUAUUUCUUGUCCUUGUUUGUGAUGCUAAUUUUUUUAUUGUAUGUAAACAUUAGGUUGUCAGCCUCAAUUUCUGAGAGUAGAUGAAUCAUGAAAAAGAAAAGCUGUGUAUUGUAAAGUUCACCAAAUUGUUAUUGUGAUAGAUACUGUACAUUGUCACUUUCAUGAGUAUUUGCUUCUCAUCAUGUUUUUCUUUUUACUCUGUCAUGAUCAUUUCAUUCAUAUUACAACCCGAAAAGGGUUUCCAUCAAAACCGUUUGGUUGGAGAUGAGAAAGAUGAGAUUGUUACAGAAAGGUAAAAACAUGUCAGGCGUUUGAUGAGACUCCUGUGAAUCUGUGAUGAGAUAUGGAAAACAAAAGAACGUUUUCACUUUUGUGGUUUCAUUGUUUGUUAUCCUCAUUGUUUUAUGUUUCAAACCUGCAUAAAAUUUUCUCUACCAGCAUUCCAGCAAUGAGAGUUCUAAAUGAUUUCUUCUAUAAUAUAAAGCAACAUUUGCUCUUAUAAAGUAUAUGUGCUCAUUUGAGUGUUCAAUAUAGAGGAUGGCAUGUGUGCUCUCUACUGUUCGUCUUGGGUGCUACUUUGCACCAUUUACUGUACUUUCUGAACGACGGAAUUUAGUGUCCGAAUCAGUAGAGUACCUUUGGCUGGACGAAGCUAUAGACUCAUCUGUCAUUGUUCUAUCUCUUUGGUUCUUCGUGUACUUGUGUUUCUUCCUUUCCAUAUACUACAAUUUUGACAAUCUUACACAUGUAGGUCUUCAAAGCUACAGAUCGCUCGAAGGAUGAUUAAGACUUGGAUCAUCACUGCUUUCUGGGAUAUAUUCGCAUUUGAUCGCUGCGCUCUAAGGUCAUUGUUCCAACAGCCUUUCUUAUAUGUUAGAAUCUGAUACCUUGAGGUAUGUUCUUCUCUGAAAGCUCUAUUUCUGUUUCUUGGUGCUACCUUAUGUUUUGGCUGGUCGCUUGUCUAUUUUUGUUAGGUAUUAGCAUUGGUUUGUUAGGUAUUAGCUGGUGUUUGAUCACUUUGAUUUGAAUUUGUACGAUGAUUAUGUUACAAGAUGUUUGAGCUUUAUUUUUCAACGAGUGAAUGAUGGCAGAAGCUAAUUCUUGGGAAUAUGGUAAAAUGUGACUAAAAUCUGGUCUGAAUGUUUUCUUGUGAACUUCAUUCUGCAAGCUUAUGAAUGAAUUAAUGUAUAUAUGUGUACCCCGCUACAAAGUCUGAAAGGGAGCCCUGCUACAACAUGCCUUGAACACAUUUAAAACUAUUUCACAAAACCAUAAAUCUAUCAAAAACAGAUUUUCCAACACUAGACAUUUUUCAGUCACCUAUUUCUUUAUCUCUGUUAGCUGCUGCCAUUGAUGAACAUGAUCACAUUCCUAUCAGAAUCGACAUCCAGAAUAACUGAGUCGCCCUCUUUGAUCUCAUUUGCCAGCAUCUUCUCAGCCAUGGUGUCCUCCAAAAGUCUUGUUAUGGCUCUUCUUAAAGGCCUUGCUCCAUAGCUUGGUCGUAUCCUUCGUCAACCACUUUGUCUUUGAACCUUUCUGUCACCCGAAGCUUUAUCUCUUUGGACUUGAGCUUAUCAUGAAACUCCUUCAGCAUUAUAUCUGCAAUUUCCUUUACCUCCAACUUAGUCAGCUGCUGAAAAACAAUUGUUUCAUCCAACCUAUUUAAAAACUCUGGUCGAAAGUGGUGUUUCAAUUUCUCUGUCACCGAGCCCUUAAUUUGUUUGUAAUUGCCAUCCUUGUUCUCAAUGUCACUGCUUCCAACAUUAGACGUCAUAAUGAUUAGUGUAUUCUUGAAAUCUAUAGUUCUGCCCUUGCUGUCAGUCAAUCUUCCAUCCUCAAGUAUUUGAAGCAUCAAGUUGAAAAUGUCAGGAUGAGCCUUCUCAAUCUCGUCAAAAAGCACCAGACUGUAAGGACAUCGACGAACGGCUUCAGUCAGCUGACCGCCUUCGUAGUAACCAAUAUAACCAGGGGGAGCACCAAUGAGCUUGGAAACAGAAAGGUGUUCCAUGAACUCACUCAUAUCAAGCCUCACCAUUGAUUUUUCAGAGCCAUAAUAGCCAGUCGCCAAAGUUUUCGCGAGCUCAGAUUUUCCAACACCAGUCGGACCACAAAAGAUGAAACUGGCAAUUGGCCUAUUAGGAUUCUUCAGUCCAACACGAGCUCGACGAAUAGCUCUGCUAAUAGCCCUGACUGCUUCAUCCUGACCAAUAACCCGCUUAUGGAGCGUCUCUUCCAUCUUGAGGAGGCGAUCGGCUUCAUUUGUUGACACUUUCUCAACCGGAAUACCAGUCCCACGGGACACACAGUGUUGAAUAUCCAAUUCAGUAACAGUACUUCCACCAUUAACAUUAUCCAAUGCCUCACAUAUCUGUGUCUUAAGAUCCAAUUCUGCGUCACGUAAUAGUGAAGCCUGUCCAAGAGUCGGUUCAGUUGACCAAAUUACACAAUGCAUAAUAAUAUUUAGAGAAAAUUAGAUAAAAACCCAAAAUACUAGACCUCUUUUGAGAUAAAUCCAUACAUAUUUUUCUUUUAUUUUACACCCAUUCCACAUAAGCAAACAUACCAUAUAGAGCAAAUGUCUAUAAUUAAUAGUUUUAUUCAUUUUUCGGUUUCUCUAAUUUGCCCUUCAGACAGUAGAAAGCUAAAUUUGGUAUAUUUCUCAAUUUUAGCAUCAAUUUGAAACUCACAUACUAGCUAAAAUUUAGUUGGAUUUAACUUUGUCAUAAUCAAUUACAUUCUUUAAUUUCUUACCUUGUUAUUAUUAACUUGAGUUUAUAUAUAGAGAAAAUUAGAUAAAAACCCAAAAUACUAGAUAUAUACAGAAGUAUGUCAUUUGUAAUAGGAUGAUACUUUUCAUUCCUAAGCUCACAUUUGGUGUCUCUCUACAUAGUCGAAAAAUGUCUAAUUGUAAGGUACACGUUCUUGUUCUUUGAUUAAUUUUCUUCUUUUUAGGUAUAUUAUUAUAUCAUUUCCCAUCCUAAUCGAGAGAACAUUUUACUCUCUACUACUUACGUUUCUAAUGUACCUAUUAAGUAGGGCAUGAUAUGAUAAUAUACACUACCAGAAGAAAGACUUUAGCCGACGAAAAUAAAAAAACCAGGCCGACGAAUUAUUUUUUCGUCGGCUGAUUAAAAAUUUUCGUCGGCUAUGGUCAACUUUAGCCAACGAAAUUAAAAUUUCGUCGUCUGAAUAAUUUUUUUCGUCGGCUAUAGUCUGUGAACUUUAGCCGACGAAAUUUUUAAAAGUUUAGCUGACGAAAAAUAUAAUUUCGUCGGCUAAAGUGCCUUAAUUUCGUCGGUUAAAGUGCCUUAUAUUUGCAGAUCUGGACAACAACUCAUCUGGGAAAAAAAACUAUACGUAGAACCUUCAAACGCAAAAAAGUCGUGAAAUAAGAUAUGACCAGAAUGGUGAAAUACGUCCACGGUUAAAAAAUCACGGUAUUCCGGUAAAGUCUCGGUGCCGAUAGUUGCGGUCAAUGCAAUUUACCCUUAUUAUUCAAUAUGCUGCAGAUUUGGUUUUUGGUGUCCGAUUGACUAUUGUGAUACCUUUCCGGAAGCGUAACGGCCCUACGAGUCAAACUCAUCGCUAACGCCAUGAUGUAUGGGCCUUUUUGGCCAUCUGAGUCUGUUUAGGGCUUUAAAAUACAGUUUUCUUAUUUCCGAUUAGAGUUGACCGUUUCGAUCGAGCCCUUAACGUUGUCGAAUCCAGUUGAAUUUUUUACCAUAGACAUCUUUCAUCAUAAUGAUCAUAUCGGACGGUCGAAUUUUGGUUUGUAAAUUUUAGUCAUCGGAAUCACAACGUGUCUACUAUUUACCGUUAUUAUUCCCUAUGUUAAGUAGUACUACUAAUUAAUUCGGGAACGGGUUCCGAAAUUUUUUUGGGUUUUUGUUAAAGUUUUAAGUUUUACCUAGUACGGGAAACUUCGACCCAAAACGGGUCGUACCUAACCUAAGGGGUUUAACCGUUAAGGUUAUUCCCUAUGAGAAGCCUUAUCGUCGGAAGGUAAAUGUCUCAAAAUUUUUAUAUGGGCAGUUGCGUCUCAUCUACGUGAGAGUUUUUUGUGUGGAAGGUUUGACCAAACCACGUAAUAUAGAGGGAGAUAUGAGCGUUUUCGUGUGAUAAGUGACGAUGGAUUAGGGUUACCCGUUUCGAUCGAGUCCUUAACGUUGUCGGAUCCAGUUGAAUUUUUUACCAUAGACAUCUUUCGUCAUAAUGAUCAUAUAUGACGGUCCAAUUUUGGUUUGUGAAUUUUAGUCAUCGGAAUCACAACGUGUCUACUAAUGUUGUAUAAUUUGUUUAGUAGGUUAUACAACUUUGUGAACCAACUCUAUAUAGGAAGCAAAAUUAUCAAAAAUCUCGUGAAAUAAGAUGUGUUCAGAAUGGUGAAAUACGGCUAUGGUUCAAAAAUCACGUAAAUCGGGUAAAGUCUCGGUGCCGAUAGUAGCGGUCAACCCUAUUUACCGUUAUUAUUCCCUAUGGGGAGCCCUAUCGUCGGAAGCAAAUGUCUCAAAAUUUUUAUAUAGGCGGUUACGUCUCAUCUACGUGAAAGUUUUUCGUGUGGAAGGUUUGACCAACACGUAAUAUAGAGGGAGAUAUGAGCGUUUUCGUGAAUUUAUAGACUUUAGCCGACGAGAUAUUAAAAAAGUCGUCGGCUAAGGUCAAAAAUUUUUAGGCGGUAAACCAAAUUUGGAGGAAAAUUUUCAAAGGACUUUAGCCGACGAAAAUAUAUGAAAAGUCGUCGGCUAAAGUCGAAAAUUUUCAAAAUUUUCAACCAAAAUUUUUUUGCGGUCAACCAAAAUUUUCAAAAGAGUUUAGCCGACGAAAAUAAAGAAUUUCGUCGGCUAAAGUUCUUUAUAUUACCGAAGGUGGAUGGUAAGAAGUCUAUUUCGCCUGCCAGAUUUUCUUUUCGGCCUAGCUCCGCCGUCAAGCCACCGGAGACCGCCACACUUGUCCCAAAAGCUUCGCCGUCGUCUCUGCUUCAUUGCUGGAUAGGUGGUGCAUCGAGUGGCACCGCCGUGAGAGAUAAAUCGAGCUCCAAAACUCCGCCGGUUUGGAUUCGAUGUCGAUCGAAUUUCUCCUUCCUCAGUUCACCAUUUGGUGAGUUCUAUAUAUGGAUAAGUUGAGUUUGAUUAGUACUACAUUCCCUUAGAAUUUGGUAACUCGAUUCGGUGUGUGUGAGGAGAAUCGAAGAUUUGAAGUUUUUAGGGUUUAAAAUUAGGGAUUUUUAUAUAUUGAUUCAAUUGACCUAUUUAGGCUUAGAAUUGGGCUUCGAUUUCUUCUAGGAAGUUGUUCGAAAUGUUGAGAAGAAGAUUCUGUCAAAUUUUGGUGGUGAUUGGAGGUGGCCGAAAGCAUCUGCAGUUUUUUUUUUAAAAAACCAGCAACUUUAGCCGACGAUAUUUAAAGGUUUAGCCGACGAUAUUUAAAGGUUUAUUCGUCGGCUAUAGUAUUUUUAAAUUUUUUAUAAGGUUUUAGCCGACGAAUUAUGGCAUAUUUUCGUCGGCUAUAGUUAUUUUUUAAAUUUUUUUAUAAGGUUUAGCCGACGAAUUAUGGCAUAUUUCGUCGGCUUAUAGUUUAUUUUUUAAAAUUUUUUUAUAAGGUUUAGCCGACGAAACAGACUAUAUUUCGUCGGCUAUAGUUAUUUUUUUAAAUUUUUUUAUAAGGUUUAGCCGACGAAACAUACUAUAUUUCGUCGGCUAUAGUCUGGAAAAAAUUUUUUUAUUACAGACUUUAGCCGACGAAUAUCUUAAUUGUUUCGUCGACUAAAGUUUGGGAAAAAAACCGACGACAUGUUUUUCGUCGGCUAAACUGCGGGACUAUAGCCGACGAAAUUUUUUUUUUCGUCGGCUAAAGUCAUCACAGACGACCUUUUCCCGACGAAAUCUUAGCCGACGAUGGCUCGUCGGCUAAGAUCUUAGCCGACGAAUUAAGCUAACAGACCGACGAAAAUUUUUCGUCGGCUAAAGUGCUUGUUCUGGUAGUGAUACCUAAAAAGAAGAAACCCAAAAUUGGGUUUAGGGUAUAGCAGGUUCAGGGUAUAGGGUAUAGGGUUUAGGGUAUAAGGUUUAGGGUUUAGGGUAUAGGGUAUAGGGUAUAGGGUUUAGGGUUUAGGGUGUAGGGUGUAGGGUAUAGGGUUUAGGGUGUAGGAUUUAGCAUUUAGGGUUUAGGGUUUAGGGUUUAGAUUAGAUAGGGUUUAGGGUUUAUGGUUUAGGGUUUAGGGUGUAGGGUGUAGGGUAUAGGGUGUUUAGGGUUUAGAUUAGAUAUCUUAUUUAUAUUAUAUUUUACCUUAUGUGAUUGGAGAAUGAAUUGUUUUAAUCUAGAUUUUUUCAUAAAAAUAAAGAAAACUACAUGACUCUUGCAAAUUGAUUGAAAAAUGUUAGUGUUAGAAGAAAAACUCAUAAUCAAGGUAUUUAAGACAACAUCAAUUAAGAUUAUUUAUUAUAUUAAUAUGUUAUAGUUGAAUGGUGGCAAUUGUGUAAAAUUUAGAAAAAAUAGGACAUAAUAUUUAUCAUAAUUGAUACAUUUUAGAUGUCUAUCACAUAAGAAUAUUAAGUGAGUUUUAUUUAAAACCACUCUUCAAAAUUGGGUGUAUAUGAAAAUUCCCCUAAUAUUUACCGCAACUAAUUUAGUAUCAACAUCUAUUGAUAUUCACUGCAAAACGCAUAGUUAUCAUUCAGAAUUCCAGCAACAAAAUUAUAGAAACUUUGUACCUUCUCAAACUCUUGUCCAUGAAUAGCUUCAUUCUUCAGUUUUGUUAUCUGCCUCAGAAUAUUGUCAAGCUCUUGAGCUUCUUUAGGAAGCUGCAAAUAAGAACCACCGCAACUAACUAAAAACAUCCCAAUGUUUUUAAAAGGACCCUGAACCAGAAAGUGAGGUUUUAUACCUGUGCAGGACGAUGCAGUCUUAAUGCAGAACCAGCAUCAUCGAUGAAGUCAAUUGCUUUAUCAGGAAGAAACCGAUCGCUGAAAUACACACAAUUAUGAUACAUAACAGAAAAAUGUAGAUUUAUAUUCACAGGGGAAAGAGAGAUAUAUCUUGCACAACUAAUGAUCAUGCUUGUGCUGAACUAUUCAUCUGACAGAUUAUAGACUCUAAAAGGGCUACCUACCUGAUGUAUCGGUGAGAUAGCUGCGCUGCUGCUUUCAGGGCUUCAUCUGUAUACUGGACUUGAUGGUGGAUCUCAUAUCGUUGUCGAAGCCCUCUCAAAAUGUGUAUGGUUUCAUCCACAGUUGGUUCAGGAAUUUGGACCGGUUGGAAUCUUCUUUCAAAUGCUGGGUCCUUUUCAAUAUACUUUCUGUAUUCAUCUAGCGUUGUGGCUCCAAUGCACUGCAGUUCACCUCUUGCAAGAGCCGGCUUCAAUAAAUUUGCACCAUCAAUUCCUCCCCCCUCUUCUGAUGAUCGGUUUCCUGUUUGCAUUAAAUUGUGCAUCUCAUCGAUAAACAGAAUAACUUGACCAUCACUUUGUUUGAUUUCCUCCAUUAGGAGCUUCAUUUUUUCCUCAAACUCUCAACGGUACUUGGUACCAGACACAAGAAGACCCACAUCAAGACUUACAACCUUCUUGUUGGCUAGUGAAUGUGGAACGUCGCCACUUGCAAUACGUUGAGCAAGCCCUUCUGCUAUUGCAGUCUUCCCAACACCAGGUUCUCCAAUCAGGCAGACAUUUUUCUUGGUCAGCCUAUUCAAUAUUUGGAUGACAAGUGAUAUUUGUUCUUCUCUUCCAAUAACAGGAUGCAACUUUCCCUCUGCUGCUUGCUUGGUUAAAUUAGUCCCACACUCCUCUAGAGUUGGCGUUGUAAUCUCAUCAUCAUGCCCUCUUCCAGUACUUGUAUACCCAUUUCGAAUAAUAUAACUUUUAUCACCCUCCCAUCUUCCAGUACUUGUAUUUUGAGUCUCGGAACUCCAAGGGAAAGAGGCUGUGAACUGCUCAAACAUGGACUUAGGUGCAGCUCUUCCACUUAUCCUAGCCUUCCGACUUUUGGAACCCGAAGGGAUUGAGUUGUCCUCGUUAGGCCUGGCCACCAUAUCUAGGGCAUCAAACCUACCGAGUCCGCAGAAACUAGAAACACUACUAGUGCUACUAGUACUACUCUUGCACCUCAUGCUCAAAGCACGAGCGGAUUUAGGACGCAUCAUCUUCACGCUACUAGGUUGGCCACCCCUAACUAGCCCUCCAACCCCACCAGUAUUUGUUAAAGGCAAGGUCAAAGCGACCGCAGCCAUGACAGCUAGCCCACCAACUACACCGGUACUAAUAGAAGGCAGACUACUUAAACCAGCAACCACACCGGUACUUGUAGAAGGCAGACUACUCAAACCAGCAACCACACCAGUAUUUGUUGAAGUACUCAAACCUGUAACCACACCAGUAUACGUUGAAGGCAGAGUCAAAACGGCUGGAGCCAUGAUCAACCGACGACGACGAUGAUUAUACGGAGGCUGAGAUUGAAAGCAAUUAAGGAUCAAGGAUCUUUCUUUGGAGACAAUACUCCGACUCUCUGAACUCUGCAGUUUCUUGGGAACGAAACCAGAACCAGGGUCAGUGCUUAGGGAUUGUGAAGCAUCGUACAAUACGAGACUUCAUCACAAUAUCAUAUAGAGGAAAAAUAAUUAAGGAUUAAUUACAAUGCGAAUAAGGUAUUUUGAUUAUACUCUUUGCAAUUCUGGAGAGAGAUUUUCUGUGAACUUUGAACAAUUUACUUGCACCUCAAGUAAGGUGUGCCUUGUGGAGGAGUUGAAUCCGUCAUCUACUGGGAAAUCCUCAUACAAAGGUUUUCGGAUAAUCAUUAAUCAACUCCCUGUAUAAGGAUUUCAAUACCUGAUUGGGACUCCUUUUCUGCUAUUCUGUUGCCCAGCUAAUUAAGAAAAUCUGUUUAUAGAUCUUUAGACAUCAAGAUUUAUUUUCGUGUGGCCUAGUUAUUAUGCAUCUCAGUGCAUAACUGGUAGACCUUGUUGUUGGCUCAUAUGAUAAUUGUGCUUUAUAACUGGUAGACUUUUGUGGUUUGUAGUAAAACUUCAAGGUAUGGAUACCCUUGUUCAUUCUAGGCCAUGGCUGCCUAAUUUCCGUAACUGAUGCCUCGGAUUCAAGUAUGGACCUCGAGUAAUAUAAAUAAGAGUACAGACCCUAUAUAUACUAGUUUUAGUCAUUCAUACUCCAGAAUUGUCUACAACAUACAAACUCACAUAUACUCAUAAAAUUUGCUAGUUGGUUUCAGUGGCGGAUCCAGGAAUGAAAAGUUACCUAGGCUAAUUUUCUAUGUGCACAAUUUUUUUUUUUAAGGUUUAGAACCCAGUGGGAGGCUCAUCCUCACGCCUUUAUAAUUUUCAACCANNNNNNNNNNNNNNNNNNNNNNNNNNNNNNNNNNNNNNNNNNNNNNNNNNUAUAUAUAUAUAUAUAUAUAUAUAUAUAUAUAUACACGAAAAACGNUAGAGAGCGCACGUGCGCACUCUCCUUAAAGUGCGCAUGUUGCUCCGUUCGUCACCGUCCGGCGCGCCUCCUCCUCAAAAGACUCCAGCAGCGUCCCCGACCACUUUCCCUCUCCAGCGAGUCCGUUCUUUUCCAGUUUUUCAGCGAGAUUACCUAAAACUUCAAAUAAAGUCGAUCUCACCGGAAACUGGAAUUCGGCGGACUGGCCGGGGAGGAAAAGUGAUCGGGGACGCUGCUAGAGUCCCCUGGAUGGAGACGCGCCGUCAUCAAAGCCGUACGGUGGCGAACGGAGGGGCGUGCGCACUGACUUAAAGUGCGGACGCCGGCUCAAAUCAACUCCGGCAACUACAUAUGGCAGCUCUUCUUCCUCCUUAAACGCCAUUGGCGUCCUGGUUGCCAUUACCAUCAAGUUAAAUGCCAAGGUGAUCGUAGAAGAAGGUCCGGCACCGGAAAAACUACAGAAACUUAAAGAAGCUCAAUCCCGGAUUCAAAACUCAUCACCGGCGAGUCUGUCGGUGAGAAGAAGCUCCAAAUGGAGCUCUUGUUUGGAACCAGCAAGAACAACGAAGCAAUCGGUGUCGCCGGAGUUGAUUUGAGCCAGCGUCCACAUUUUAACACAAUUGCGGACGUCUGUUUCAUAUUAUUUCCGUGUUUGUGUCUAUAUAUAUAUAUAUAUACAUGAAUUCUCAUGUGCGGACGUCCGCACCAAAGUUUUGGUUCGGAUUUCCAUUUUUGCACCAGUUCCCGAUCGAAUUUCCUCAAACUUCCUUCUAGACAUAUCUAGAUCAUCUCUGUAAAAUUUCAGUCAAUUUGGUGAUCGUUAAGGCCCUCAAAAUCGCAAAACAAAUCUGACGGAUUGAAUUCUGUCCGGUUCAGGUAUAUAACAGAAAAACGCAAGUUUUAUGGCUUUAACUAUCACCAAAUUGGCUGAAAUUUUGCAGAGAUGAUCUACACAAGAUGAUCUAAAUAUGUCUAGAAGGAAGUUUG
rnacentral:lncRNA from 1 species